UAUUUAAACUUAACAACCUAUCAUAAUAAUAAUAACAACAAUAAAAUCCAUAGUAGAAAAUGUCUCGAAUAUUUAUUGAGUUCAAUUUGUUGGUCAGCUAAACAAUAAGUGUCAAUAUCUUUAAACUAGAUGAUUUUACAAACUAAACUUAGAUAAAGAAUCAAUAAUGAUUCAUAAUAAAGAUAAUCAAUAAUGGUUCAACAAUAAGUGUCUUUAUCAAAGAUGGUAUCAUGUUUAACAUAAUUCAUUUAUGUAUAUACUUAAUCAUAAGAAUAUAAAAAUGAGAUAGAACCAUAAACAAUAUAAAUGAGCUCAAAGUAUCAAAUAACGUAAUCUUGAUUUCAAUAAUGAUAUAUACUAAUGUCCAUGCGUUUAGCAUGAUCAUUAAAUGUCUUUAGUGGCAAUCUUUUAGUUAGUAGAUCUGCAAUCAUAAGUUUAGUGUUAAUGUGUUUGAUUGACAUUUUUUGUUUCUGAACUUCUUCUUUAACAACAAAGUAUUUUAAUUUUAUAAGUUUAGCACCAAUUAUAAUAUUUGUUGUCUGUUGAGAAGAAAACUACUACAAAAUUAUCACGAUAAAUUUUUAACGGCUUGACAAUACUGUCGACAGUUCCAAGUUUUGCAACCAUAAAAUAUGAAUUAUAGCCUCAAAGCAUGCUACGAAUUCAACUUCCAUAGUGGAUGCAGCAACAAUACACUGCUUCACACAUUUUCAAGAAAUUGCUCAUUCAGCUAAUAAGAACACAUAGUCAAAAGUGGAUUUUUUGUGUAUCCAUACGUCCGACAAAAUUUGAAUUUGAAUAUCCAAUCACCUCAAGAUGAUCGGAUCUCUUGUAAGUAAGCCUAUAGAAUAAGGAUUAUAUUUAAAGUUACUUCCACUGAUCCUUAGGUAUAUACAUCGAUCAACGAUGUUUUUUUUUUAAACCAAAAGAUGUGAUGGUAUCAAUUGCACUUAAGAUACCAUUGUCUGAAAGCUUGUUUAAGUUCAUAUAUUGACCUUUUUAAUUUACACACCAUAUGUUCAUUUCCUUCAACUAUAAAACUUUCUAGUUGAUCCAUGACACUUCUUCUCAAUUUUCAUUUUUAGAAAGGUAGUUUUCACAUCUAUUUGAUGAAUCUCUAAAUCAUAAUAAGCUACUAAAGCCAUAAUAAUUCUUAAUGAGUCAUUUUUUCGAGAUAGAGAUUUCUUUAUCCUUUUGAGUAUAACCUUUGACAACAAAUCUAGCCUUGUAUCAUUUGAUAUUGCCAUUUGAGUUAAGUUUGGUCUUAAAGAUCCAUUUACAUCCAACUCUUUUACUUCCUUUAGGCAAUUCUACAAUGUGGUUGACUUCAUUAUCAUUCAUAGAUUUUAACUCUUCUUUCAUGACAUAUAACUCUUUGGCAUAAUUAUCUUCUUUAAUGGCUUCUGAAAACAAAACUGGAUUAUUAUUAAUACUUACGUCAAUUUUUAACUCAUGCAAAUGAACCCAAAUAGUCAUCAGAAAUAGAUGAUCUUCUUUGUUUUACAGAUCUCCUUAACUCUACUUGUGGCCCCUCAGUUACAUGUUCAUUUGUUAUAACAGGGUCAACAACUACAGAAACAACAACUUUAAUUUCAUGAUUAUACAAUAAAACUCUAACAUUGUAUAUAAUAAUAAGUGUCAAGAUUUUUGAACUAAAUGAUUAUACAAAUUAAACUUAGAUAAAGAAUCACAUACUUUGAUCCAUGAAUGGUCUUCUAAAGAAUUGUGUUUAUCUAACUUGGCCUCCCUUAACAUAAUUAAUUUUUUUGAUGAGAAUAGUGAAUUACUUGAAUGAGUCUAUGAGAUGACCGAACCCUGAAGUUCUAUUUCUAGACACCACCCGUCAUGAUGUUUAAUUAUGAUAUUAUCUUUUUACCUAAUAAAUUUAAUAAAAUAAUGGAUUCAAAAAGAUAAAAUGACAUAUAAUAGACAACAUUAAUAAUAUAUUAUUAUAUUUAAAAUAAAUCUAAUAGUGCAAACAAAAAUAUGCAAGUCAUAUAGCACAAAGACAUUUUCUCAUAAAAAAAAAUGUCACUAUUGCUCCCAACCUCCUCACGUUUUAGUUAAAAAGCUUUCCUAUUUAACUAAAGCUCAAACAUUGACUAAGAUGUAUAAAUCCUCAAUAAAGGUUUAAGCUAAAACUAUAUAAACAAACUCUUGAAUGAGAUACAAUAAAUAAAUUAUUUGGAGAAGUCACUACAAUAUAUGUUUUACUAUUGGAUGUACGAAAAAGAAUUAUCUCACUGUUUGUUAUUAUGAAGUAGCUAGUUACAUGUUGUAGCAGUCUUACUCAUUUGCAAGAGAGUAGAGUGGCUGAAAUAUAUAUGUGGCAGUUAUUUUAUAAAAAAAAUUAUAAAUAUAGCAAAGUCUAUCAACUUCUAUCAUUGAUAAACUCGUAUAAUACUUUAUCAGUGAUAGACUAUCAACAAUGUGAGAGUUUAUCUACGAUAGAAGUACAUCACUAAUACAUUUUGCUUUAUUUAUAAUUUUUUUAAAUAUUACCAUAUACGCCAAUUGAAAUUGAUAGUGAUGGCUAUAUUUGGAUUUUAAAAGGAAGUGGUUUCAACAUAUUCAUGAACGAGAUGCAAUCCGUUUGAUUCGAUUUCAAUUUGAUUCAGUUUUGAAAUAUUGAAUGAACACCGGUAGUGGAUGCAGGCGAGGCUGCUUUGUGGUGCUUUCAUCGUCCAUGGCAAAGCGAGACGAGUGGACAGUCUUGUUUCGUUCAAAAACUGAGCCCAGGGCCCAAUGUUCGUUAUGUGGUUCGCUUGGGCCCGACUUAUCAAAAGGAGCCCAUUUGGACAAUGGUUUCCCUUUUAUUUAUAUAGAAAAUAAAAGGAAAAAUAGCGCAGAAAAAGAAAAAGCGUUGAGAUUGAGUUAGAAAAAAUUUGAACAUAAUUUUCUGGAAGAAAUAUAAAUGAUUGAAAAAACAUAAUUUAUUUAAAAAUUUAAAUUGUAAAUACUGGGCAAGGUUUAAAAGUAAUAGAAAAUCUAAAAUGAGGUAAGAUAAAAUUGUAAAUAUUUGUAUAUAUAAUUUUAAACUUUCUCGAAAAAAGAAUAGAUAAACUGUGAAAGGCAUAAUAAUAAUAAUAAUGAUAAAGAAUUGUCGGCCAAAUCUAUCUUGUUCAAGUUAUUCAUGCAGUCAACCUUUUCUGAUUUGGUCCACAAAAUUCUCAACCUAACCCAACUUUUACCAUGGAAUAAAACUUAAAUACACAUGAACCAAACCAACAAUGUUUUUAACAUAUAUAUACACACUAUAUACACAACACGCAACAAGGAAAAAAAAACCUUUCUAACUCCAUAAAUUAAAUUAUAAAUGUUCGUUGAUACAAACUACACUGUAAUCAAGUAGGUUAGCUAGUUUUCGACUUGUUUUAAUUAAUAACACGUCAAAACAUAUAUUACAAUAUGGAAAUUUUUUAAGUAGGAGUGAAUGAGUAAUUGUAUUUUAAAAAGUCUAAUUCAUGUAUAAAAUAAACAAAUUUACAUGAAAAUAUUCUUUUAUCUCAAUAGGUCUUCAAAUGGAAAGUUUAUUGUAAGGGAAAUUGUAAGAUAAAUAUGGUAAUUCUAUUUACCAAAAGACAUAGAUGGAUGAAAUUCAAAGUUUAGUAAAAGUUUUACAUCUUUUUCAAUUUUAAUAUAAACUUUGAUAAUUUCCCUCACAAACAUUAAUUACCUCUAAAAAAAACAUUAUAAUAAGAUAAUAUUUAAACCCUAAACUAAAAUUCUCCUAAUUCCUAACCUUUUUCUUGGGGGUGUUUUUUCAACACAAAAUAUCAUCAUGUGUUUAAUUGUUUUUGAAAAGUUUUUCAUUAUUGAAAUGAUUGUUCAUAAUUAUUUCCAUUUUCUAAAAGAUAUGUUUGGUGUCACAUAUCUAUCUCAAGAUAAUUAUUUUUUUCUUUUUCUUUUUCUUUUUUCUGAGAAAAUUGCUUAAAAGACCAUUGUUGGACAAGUUAUUUGACACAUUAAUUAAUUAUUGUAUGAUCAUAUGCAACUUGGAAAAAGUAUGGUAUUAUAUGGACAUCAAGUAAUAACGGUAUAUUUUCACUCAUUGAAUUAACAAUAAUGUCUCUUUAAAAGCAUAUAUUAUAUCUCAAUACCAUAUAUCCACUUGUUAUAACAAAAUAAUACUUUAAAAAAAUAAAUGGAUUAAUCACUUUACAAAUUAUAAUUGUUGGCUUAUGAGUGAAUUAAAAUGAUACAUAUGAAUUAUUAAAUUAAAUUUUAAAAAAAAAACAAAUAUUUGUGCAUGUGUGCACCAUAUAUUAAGUUUAAAGUUGUGUGUUUUCUUAAAAAGAAGAAGAAAGAAACAAUGGCUUGAAAGGGUUGUUCUCCGUGGUUAUUCUAUCACCAUAACUUAUUUACAAACGUAUGUUAUUCGUUAUCGAUCGUAUUCUUUCUUUGUUAUUGUAUAGUUUCAUCCCAUUUUGUAGCUGGUUACUCCACUCCAUCCCUCAAAUAUCAUAUCAAUUAGUUUGAGAGAAUUGUAUUCAACAUUGUGUUAUUUGUAUAUUUUAAAUUAAAAAGAUAAUUGUUUUUAUUUUUGUUGGUUAAACCCUAACACAACUUUUCAAACAGCAGUAUUAUAUUAUAAUUUUUUUUAAAAAAAGAGAGAGAGAUAAUUACUUAACUAAAAUGACCACAUAAUUUUAAGGGUAUGAAAACUAGCAUAUACAAGUAUUAUAAAACAUACAAUACAUAAAAUGAUAUAUAUUUAUUGCUUUCACUUGAAGUAGUAAUUUGGAGAUAAAGUAUAGUAAUUCAGUAACAACACACAAAUACACUUCCACGUAACUUAAUUAAUUAGCAUAUACGUGUUUUAGGUAUAAGAUUGGGAGUUUGAAUAAUCUCUCCUAUCCUACCAUAAAAAACAAUUUUAUAAAAAAGAAAUGAAUUUUGACAUUGAUAAAGUGAAUAAAGUUAAUAAUGAUAAACAAACAUAAAUAGUGGUUUUGUUAUUAAUGAAAAUAAAUAGUAGGUGUUGUUAGGUAAAAUGGAAAAAGCGAUUUGAUGAGCCAACUAAUCCACUUUAACAGGGCCAUAAGCAUAACUCCAUGGAGCCCAAAUUUCAUAUUAUAAAAUCCACUUUUAUAAGAAUUAAAUUCUUAUGUUUAUUUGGUUCUAAUAAACCUUUAAAAUAUCAAUUUUUUUUAUUUCAUGCAAAUAUCCAUACAAAUUUUAAAAAAUUGUUAUUAUUAGUUAAGUUAAUUAUAAUUGACCUAUAAUCUUGAUUUAUAUAAAGUAAAUUGUAUUGUUGUGAAAAUUCAAUAGAAAAAUAUAUGAUCUUUUGAAAUUAAGAUUUUGUUUAGAAACAACUUUUAUUGUACUUCAUAGCUACUUACUCGUCGUUAAAAAAACCAAAAACUAAAAAAAUAUCAAAUUGAGAUACUAAAUUUGGAGUCUAUGGAAAUCUCAAAAUUAGGAUGGUCCUAAGUUUUGUUUCAAAAUUUAAUACUCAUCUUAUAAAAUAAACUAAAGAAGUAAAGACAUACAAUGAACUGAAAGUUAGUUUUGGAAUAUAUGAAUAAUUAAUCAAUAAAAAAGUUCAAAAAAUUUGGGUAAGUUAUUGGUUUAAUUAAUUGAGAUUGUUUUGUGUGAUAACUUUCAGUGAAAUUUAAGCAAUAUCCCAAUUAUAAUUAGCAAUAUCCCAAUUAUAAUUUGGGCCCCUCUCCUAACAAUCUCCUUAUCUCUUAGGACAAUUACUAUAUUAUUAUUAUCAAUAAUAAAUUGGAAUAGUAAGGAUAAAGAUUUCAGGGAUCAUUUUCAAAACUAACUUUUCUUUUUAAUUUUUAGUAAAUAACAUUUUUUUUUUUGCAAAAAUACUCACAUUCGUAAUUAUUUCAUCUCUAUAUCAUAAUUAACUUUUGUUAUGCAUUCCGAGUUUUUAACUAUUUUCAAAAACAAAUAUAGCAACCUUCCUUUUGUUUGUUCGGUAGACUCAACUAAUUGAUUCAACGUUUUAAGAAUUUUAUUAUUCAAUUUUAUUAAUUUUAAAAUAACAAAUUUGGACUUAAAUAUUAAAAUAACUCAAUUUAAUUUCAAAAUAACAAAAUUAUUAUUUUUUAAAAUCGGAGAAUCUCAACGAUAUAUUUUAUAUCAAAAUAACUUUAAUUGAAUUCCAAAAUAACAAAAUUAUUAAUUUUUAAAAUUGAAGAAUUUCAACAUGCACAUCGUAUUAAGAUUUGUAACGCCCCACACGUCCAGGAUUCGAAAUUCGAAAGCCACCCAACAUAGAAUUACUCCAAGCUAAGCACACUUAACUUUGAAGUUUCUAUUAUAGAACCACUAAAAAGGAAGGUGCACCUUGUUAGUAUAGGUAUUAAUUUUCAAUUCUUUUUAAAUCUUUCUUAACAUUAUUUUCAUGUCUUUAGAAUCUCUUUAAUUCAGGUGUGAUAUCGGUUCAUUUAUGUCACCCUCCUAAUCUCGGACAUUACAUUAAUUAUAUUGGAGUUUGUCUGCUUUAAGGUUGAAAGAUUAGGAUUUGCUCGCUAAAAGAAGAUGGAAUUGAAAAAUAAAAAUGAAAAAAUGGAGACGAAGGAAGAUGGAGAAUCGUAGAAUGGAAGUUGGAGAAUCGAAAAACAAAAAUAGAAAAUGAAGAUCGCAACAAGUUUGAAAAGUUAAGAUGAAAUGUUAUGAUUUUGAUUGGACAGAGUAUGUAGCUUAGUAUGUAGCUUUAAUUAUAUUACUAACAUUUGUUAAAGUGUAUUUAUUUUAUUUUAGCUUAACAAUAUAGCUUACACCCUAUCCAUACGGAUAUUUUGAGUUUUUCCAAAUUCUUAUUUUUUUUUAUUGUGCCAUUUUUAAAAGAAAAAUAUUGAUUUUGAAAAAUGAUAACUUUACAAGUGUUAUGCUCCUAGUCGACCCUAAAAAAAUAUUAUAGGUCUAUGUAUAUUUUGGAGUCAUUUUAACAUGAUUAAAACACAUUCCUAUCGAAUAUUGAAAUUUAUUUUAAUGUAUUUGAUAUAAAAUAUGGAGCAUGCACCUAUAUUUUAAGAAUAUAUUGUAUGUUUGAAUAAUUAAUUUCUCAAACAAAAAAUAUAUGUUAUUACUAGUAAUGGGACAAUUCUAAAAAAAAUACACUCUUUUCUUCUAUUUUAUCACGAAGCUUUUGUAAAAAUAGCAAAAAAAAAAAAAAAAAUGAUAAUUGAAUUUAUGUCAUGACAUUUUCUAAAUUUGCAAAAUGAUGUCUAUCUGAUAGUUUUAUGAUUACCGUCUGAUAGUUCUGCGAUAACUUUAUAAUUAUCGUAUGAUAUCAUUAAUUUUGCUAUAUUUACACUAUGCAAAAAUAUAGAAAAAAAAAUUGGUAGCAUAAGCUGUUUCUUUUAAAAAUAUUUGAGCCGUUUGAUGCAAUUUUUCUUUUAUUAUAGUACUCUAAUUCUUUUCACUUUAUUUGUAUAGAAUUUUGACAUUAACAAUGAAAAUGUAUUGAUAUUUUUGUUAUAAAAUUUUUCUAAUAUCCCUACAAUUGGUAUUAAUUAUAGACUAGCUGCAUGAACUUUUUUUUAGUCGAAAUUGAACGUAAAAAAAUGACAAGAAGCUUAUAACCAUCUAAUUAAGUACUUAAAAGACAACACAAUUGACUAUUUUCUUUUUCUUUUUCUCUACACAAUCAUCAAAACUUGAGAAUAGUAACAACACAACAUUCAUUCAUUACCAACCUAUGUCAAACCACAAUUACACAUGCCAACUCAAAGUACAUGAAAACGUUAAUAUAAAUAUCACUAGCAAAUAUAACCAUGCUAGUACAAUGUAAACGAUUUUAUAUAUCAUCACUAGUCUGCAUCUACCAAUACCAAAUUUCGUUAUAUAAUUUUUAAAAUUCUUUAAGAAAGCUUGUUAUACACUUAAUUAUUAUCUCUAUACUAGAUGUUCGUUGGCGUCCAAUAUUAAAAAAAUGUAGUUCCACUAUCUCACAAUUUUAAAAAUUAGAGAAGAAUGCACACAAUAAAGUACUCAAUUGAUAUACAAGUGUAAGAGUAACGGUUAAAUACCCCUAAAAAUAAGAAUAACCAAUAGAAUAAUUUGUAUUGAACAAAAACAUAGACAAAAAUGAAUGUAGAUUAUAAAAAUGAGAAUAAGCAACCGAAUAGUAUAAACUUGACUCAACCUUGACAUAUGUAUAAACAAAUCUAAUCUACCAUGAUGAGAGGAAAACACAAAGUUUCUUUUGUUGGAAUUUAAAAUCAAUUAGCACCUUUUGGUCUCUCUCAAUAUAGAAAUGUGCCUUUUUUCCCCUCCUCUUUUUAACGCUCCUACCCCUUAAAAAAACAAAAAGGUUCUACAAAAGUAGCUUCAAAGUAAAAGGAAAAAAAAAAACGAUAUAUAGAUACUUUAUAUUUUAAAAUUAGAGAAAUUUAAUUAUAUUUAAAAGGUAGAUUAAUGAAUUUAAUUAAUAUUUGUUGUGUUUGUAUUAUGGUUUGGACCCUUCAAAUCAUUUUUGUGAGAAAAGGAACCUUCUUCCCCCCCCUUUUUAUCUCUCUAUAAAAACUCCAAUUAAGCAAUCAAUUAUGAUCCAAAUACUAUAUCAUAACUAACACAAACAUUCCCUAAAAUAAUCACACUCACACACCUUCCAUUUUUAUUUUACUUUUCUUCAUGAUGGAUGAAAAGAGAUCAGAAGAUGGCAAAAAAUUAGAGAAAUUUGAGAUUUUACUAUCCACUUUGGAGUUAAGGUUGCCGUUGCCGUUGCCAAGUUUUUGUUGUUUAGGUGACAAGGAAAAGGAAGUGGAUCGGGGCGAUGAUUUGAUGAAGACUCCGAGAUCUUUGGAACCUACUUCGGUUGUUCUUCAGUGUCCGCCGCCGCCCAGAAAACCCAGGAGGUUCCCGUCGGCGGCAAAACGGAAGGCCGGUGGCGGUGGUGGGCGGUCCAUUUUGAUGUCGCAUGAUUAUUUCUUCCGCGACGUGGAAUUGGAUUGGUUGUUUCCGUCGAAUGUAGUCGGCGGUAAGAUUGUUAAGAAAAUUAAAGGAGCAGAAUAAUUGUUUAAGGGAUGUAAUGUCAGUUUAAAUAUUAAAAUGUAUGAGUUUUCCCUCUCUCCCUCUCUUUCUCCUUUGAAGUUUAUAGAUAAAUCAAUUUAUCUUUCUUUUUUUACACCUAUAUAUUGCUUCUUUUAAAAUUUAUGUUCAAUGUAAUGAUGUGACACUGGAAACAUAAUUUACCCUAUCAAUUUAUUUUAUUAAUUUAAGUUAUUUUUGUAAAAAAUUUAAAUUAGUCUAGGAUGUUUAAGGUAUGGUUAGUUAAGUUGAAUUCAAUAAUAAAGAUAUGUAUUUUUAUAGAAUAAAUCGAUGGUAAGAGAUUUGAAUAUAAAACCUCUUAUGUUCGGUUGAGUUAAGUAGCUUUCGUUGACUUUUGUUUUGAUGAAUUAACUCUUGAUUCAUGUGAUAAACUAAAGUGAUUAUUUCAAUUACUAUUCACUUUAACAAGUCUACGUGUAGAUAAUUUAAAAUAAAGAUGAAAAAAAAUGAAAAAAUGGAGAUAGUUCAAAAUUCAAAAUAAUGGAAUAUAAGUGGGCUUCUACUCUUGAUCCAUUGGAUCUUGGCCUGAUGCAUUAGUUAUAUGGGCCCUUCAAAUCACGUGUAAGUCCACAUGAACGGUCUAGAUUAGAUGACGACGAGACGACCCAUUAACGAAAAAACAUUAAAUUUAUGUAACUACUAUCCAAUUGAAUAUUACAACUUCGUUCUUUAUCGAGAAAAAUUGGAAAAACUACAGUAAUAACUAAAUCUUAAGUAUACUCAAAUUUAGAUCUACCUACCAGUAUAUAUUAGUGAUAGGCUAUAUUGAAUUUAUCGCUAUAAACUAUAUUAGUACUAAAGUUUAACCAAUAAAAUUUUAGUUAUAUUUGUGUGUGUUUUAUUUUAAAUAUUGUUAUAUUACAUACCCUAAAUCAUUGUAACAAUGAAUGAUUUAAAGAGAAGUUUUUCAUUCAAAAUAAUUAUUUUUUCUUUUUAGUUAAAUUUAUAAAAUAUGUGUUUGAACUUUGAAAAACUCUAAGAAAAUAGUUUAAAACAUUUUUAUAGUCAGCCAUUUGUUAAUAAAAAUUGUUAAUAAUGUUAUAAAAUGUAUUUUAAUAAUAUAAAACAAUUAUUAUUGUAAAAAUCCAAUGUUCAAAUUCGUGCCUCAAUCUCACCAAAGAAAUGGAGAAAUUUUUUGGGGAUGGAGAUGGAGAAGUUGUCAUUGAUCUCGUUUUAUCUUAUUGACACCUUCAAGUGUUAAGGAAGUUUUGAAAAAUUUUAGAAAACGUAGAGAAUGAGGUAUAAAUGAUUUAUGUAUCUAAAAAAAAGUAUUUUUGAUUUAUUGUUAUUAAUUUUUAUAAUUUUUGUUUAAGAGUAUUUGUGGAAUUAAAGAAAGUAAUACUUUUUCCCUAUAAAAAAAUUGGUUUUUAUUUAUUUAUUUAUAAAGGUUAACGGUAAUUUUGGGGCUAAUAGAAAGUUAGGGUAUUUUCUGUAAAUUAUAUAUAUAUAUAUAUAUAUAUAUUUUAUAUAUUUUUUUUUUAUGUAUUUUUUCUAAUGCAAUAAUCUUAUACUUUACCUGUUCUUCAAGCCAAUUCUCCUUCUCCUUCACACUCGAACUUUCGAUUUCUCUCUAUCGUCUCUCAACUUUCUCUCCGUCUCCGAUCGCCGAAGAUCUCUCCUUCUCCGAUUUCGUUGUUCCCUCUCACUCUUGCCUGUUCUUCAAGUGUGAGGUAUGUACAUUUCUAUUUUUUUUUUCCCUUCCAGUUCAAGGGUUUGAGAGAUGAAGAAGGAAUUUUGGUUCUGUCAUGAUAUGUGAGGUUAAAAGGGUUUCUUGUUUUUCGAUUUUCGGUUUCUCUUUUACUUUUUUGCUUCAGAUUUUUGUUUGUUCUCUGCAAUUUCUCUCCUGGGGUUACUUGUUUUUGUAAUUUCUUGUUUUGUGAUCUAGGUUUUUAGUUUUCUGAAUAUGCAAACUUAUGGUUCUUUUGUUUCUCCUCUCUAUUGCUUGAGAUUCUAGUUGGGUUUCUCUGAAAUCGUUAGUUCUGAAUUCUUUAAUCUCAUAUUUUUAUCCUUCUGAGUAGAAUGAACCAGUGGAACCAAGAUCUUGAUAUAGAAGGACUAGGAAGCUUUGUGUUUCGGUUACUUUCCAAUAUUUUUCUCCACAUUUGAAUGAAAUAUUGAUGUCUUAGCUGGGUUAGAAGUGAUAGUCUAAUGCAGUACUUUGUAGUUAUUUGACAAGAAGUAACUUUUGGGUGUUUUGCUUUUGCUGUCUAAAUAAAAUUUUCAUGUCGUUCAGUGACUUACUUCUGUAGGUUUCAAAUCUGUAACUAUGUCGACAUCUUACCUACCUGCCACUACUGAAUCAAUUUCUGAGGCAUUAGAGGCUAAGAAUUCAUCAGAUUCUAUCUCAAUCCUUUACCGUGUUCUUGAAAACCCUUCAUCUUCCCCUGAGGCUCUACGGAUAAAGGAACAGGCUAUAACAAAUCUUUCGGAUCUUCUCACACAGGAGAAUCGUGCAGAGGAUCUUCGGAACCUUUUGACUCAACUUAGGCCUUUCUUUAACUUGAUUCCAAAAGCAAAAACAGCAAAAAUUGUUCGAGGAAUCAUCGAUGCUGUGGCUAAAAUACCAAACACAUCUGAUCUGCAGAUUUCCCUGUGUAAGGAAAUGGUGCAGUGGACACGUGCAGAGAAGCGAACGUUUCUUCGGCAACGGGUUGAGGCCAGGCUUGCAGCUCUUUUGAUGGAAAAUAAGGAGUACCCUGAAGCCUUAAAUCUCCUGACUGGAUUAAUCAAGGAAGUGAGAAGACUUGAUGAUAAGCUCCUCCUUGUAGACAUAGAUCUCUUGGAGAGCAAACUCCAUUUUUCUCUGAGGAACCUCCCUAAAGCGAAGGCUGCACUUACUGCUGCAAGAACAGCUGCUAAUGCCAUAUAUGUUCCUCCAGCACAGCAGGGAACUAUUGACUUGCAGAGUGGCAUCCUUCACGCGGAAGAGAAAGAUUACAAAACUGCUUACAGUUAUUUCUUUGAAGCAUUUGAAGCCUUCAAUGCUCUUGAAGAUCCCCGUGCUGUAUUUAGCCUCAAAUAUAUGUUACUAUGCAAAAUAAUGGUUAACCAGGCUGACGACGUGGCAGGAACAGUAUUAUCAAAAGCAGGUCUACAAUAUCAGGGGAAUGAGCUGGAUGCCAUGAAGGCUGUAGCUGAUGCACAUUCCAAGCGUUCGUUAAAGCUUUUUGAGACAGCACUUCGAGAUUAUAAGGCUCAACUUGAGGAAGACCCUAUUGUCCACAGGCAUCUCUCUUCUCUCUAUGACACUUUGUUGGAGCAAAAUCUUUGCAGGUUGAUCGAACCAUUCUCAAGAGUAGAGAUUGCUCAUAUCGCGGAACUGAUCGAAUUGCCCUUGGAUCACGUGGAAAAGAAGUUGUCUCAGAUGAUUCUAGACAAAAAGUUUGCAGGGACUCUAGAUCAAGGUGCUGGAUGCCUAAUCAUUUUUGACGACCCGAAGACCGAUGCCAUAUAUCCAGCCACACUGGAAACCAUUUCCAACAUUGGCAAGGUUGUGGAUAGCCUCUAUAUUAGGUCAGCAAAGAUAAUGGCUUAAGGUUAUCGGCAUUGGACCAACCUACUGUAGUUUUGGACUUCGCUUGCCUUGGUAUGGGGCUGCGUUGUUUUUUAUGGUUCAUCUGCUUUACUCUUGAAUGAUUCCUUAUGAACUUCUAUUUUGUGUUUUAAAAAGUUUAGUUUGAAGUUUUAGCCGCAGGUCUUUAUGGAGAAAGAAUGUUUAGGCUAUUUUACCAUUCUUCGGAUACAGGUACAUAUUGGAUUUUCAGGUUACUUGUUGAUCUGCAGUAAUCUCUUCUGAGUUGAACUUGAAACUUGAAACUUGAAAGUACGGACUAAUCAUAUUCCAGUUAUUUGAUGAAAAGGGAAGUGUGUCUUGUAACCAUGAUUCAACCACCUUUCUUAUGACUUGGUGAUUAUCACAUAUUCAUUCUCUUCAAAUUAUCACCCCUGUCUUGGAUUGGGAAGGUGUGAUCUAAGCUUUCAACUUUAUUAAAUUGCUCAUAGAACUUAUAUAAGCCAUUUUUUUAAUGUUUGGAUUUAAAUCGUUGAGAACAUAGGUAUUUUGACGUGCGUUCAAUGCUCUUUUCAGAAAGAACAUACUCUUAUUUUGUUAGGGGAACAGAAGGGAGAGUGGGUCAGGUUUUAAGCUCGGUAGCAAGCGACCGAGUCGAGAGAGGGCUUCAACUGCAAGAUUUCAUUUUCUUUGUCUUUCCUUUUCUAGUAAGAUUUCAAUACUAUUCUUCCAAGAUCUUUAAUCCUCAUGUUUGUCACAAGACGAAUAUAGGUAGGCAAAUCCUAAAUAACAUGUAUGGUACCAAUUUGAUAAAACUCAAGAAAGAAAAUGGGAUCAAUCUUCCAUAUCUAUUGAAUUUUGUGUGUUUUAGACGGGUUAUGAAAUGGUUUAUUUUUUAUUUUUCUCAUAACGUUCUUAAUUUAUGAACAAUAGAAGUAUUUUUGAAAAAAUUUAAGAAAGUGAGUGUGUGGUGUAGGAAUUUGAACUUGUAGAUUUUGAAACAAGUUGUGGAUGUCUAACCAGUCAAGCUUUAAAUCAAUAUUUAACUUUUCUUAUUUUAGUUUCGUAACAUUAAGAAAGAGCUGCUAUGUCUUUUCUUUACAUAAUUUUUGUUAAUAUGCUUAGAAUUAGGGACCAAUUAAAAUUUAAAAAAGUAAUAAAAACAAGAUUAGUAAUUAACAAAGGUUGUAUUAGGUGACUAUCUCUCUCUUUCUCUUAAAACUAACCGUUUUUUUUCUGUCGGUUGUUUGCAUUUUCUUAAAUUCAAAUGUUUAAAUUUUAGUUAAAUUCAAAAGACAACUAAUUUUAAAAUCUAUUUUUUCUAGUUUUUAAAUUUUAGUUUGGUUUUUAAAAACAUAGGUAAAAGAAAAAGUUGAUGGCAAAUUUAGGGGUGAAAUAAGUGUUUAUAUACUUACUUUCAAAUAUUGAAAAGAAAAAAAAGUUAAGGUUUUGUUUGGUAGAUAUUUUAUUUUUAAAUUCUUGGUUUCUCGAAAUUAAGUCUAUUUUCUCACAAUUUCUUAUAAUUAUUUGUAUUUUAUUUACGCAUUACUAUUCUUAAUUCAACUUCAAAAACAAAAUUUAGUUUUAAAAACGUUCUUUCUAAAUAUAGAAAAUAAAAUAUUUACACUAUAUAAUAAUUUUGGAAAAGGAAAAAGUCCACAGCCCAAAAAGCUCAAAGUUCAAUAUGUGAAAUACCUCCGGCCAUCAAGCUAUGCGAAUUGUUUUCUUCGUCGAUAAUGUCUAUGAAAUAGAUAGUGAUAGUUGUGUGUUCUUUUUUUUUUUUUUUUUUUGUUAUUUUUGUCUAUCACUACAGGUAGUUUGUGUCCUUUCACAUGUUUUUGUGCUUCUUUUAAUUCUAUUGAAGAUUGAUCCUACCAAUUUUUAAAAAUUAUCAACUCAAGAUCACAAUAAAUCAUAAAGUAUCAUUCAUAACUUUUAAUGUCAAUCUAUUUGUAUACGUGUGUUUACACGAGAUUUCGAAGAUUUCGAAGAAAUGUAUUUUGUGGAAUUGAACUUUGUAUAUUAAUAAAUGUAGCAGAUACAAUCUCUAGUAUUUACUCAUUUGAUGAUUUCUCUUGAAUACAAUUUAAAACUUAUAACUUUUUUAUUUUCGAUCUUUAGGAUGUUGUAGUUGCAAGUCGAUUUGAACUUCAAUCUUCUGGAAUCCAAGAAAAUUUUAGUCUUCAAAGUCUUCAAUCUUUCAGAAGUUGUUGAUCUCGAGCUUGAAGUUUGAAUCUUCAAUUCCUCUUAGAGAAGUUGAUCUCGAGCUUGAAGUUUGAAUCUUCAAUUCCUCGGAGCUUUAAUAGUUCAGAGCUUUAGUUUUUUCUUCAACCAAAGACCCCCUCAAAAUGAGAGGGAAAGGUCUCUAUUUAUAGAGAAAUUUAACGGGCUUUAGGUGGGCUUGAGUUCAUUUGCUUGUUGGGCUUGAACUUGAAUCCAUUUGGGAGUUAAAUUUGGACUUGAGCCAAUCUAUUUCUUGGACUUGGGCUUGAAUCCAUUUAUUUGUUGGACCUCAAUUGGGUUGGGUUGAGUAAACUUAAUUAUUCAAACUACAAAAGUAUAAUCAUCACCAUAUUUACUGUAAUUAUGUGGCAUAAUUUAAUUGGUUAAAAUGUAUUGCAAGUGUAUUAGAAUGUAAAAGAUUGAUUAUAUCUUUUGAUUAUUUAGUUUAAUUUUGCAAGUUCUACUAUUGUGAUCUUUAUGGUUAUAAUCUUCCCAAAGAUAUGGGUAAAUAAAGGUAAAAUCGACCGUGAACAAGAAAUCCAAAAAAUUGGGCUUAUUUGCAAUUGUGCAUAGUCCUUAAGCCCAAUAUGAAUCUUCACUCGAGCAUUGAACAUAAAUAUUCAUUCAAAUUCCUCUAGUUCAAAAGCAGAGAUCCUUCAUUUAAUAAAACUAGGGUCUUUAACUAAGUUACCUAAAAUUAUAUACCAUAUUAUACUAUAUUACAACAUUGGUCCAAAAUUUUCAAAACUUUUUUUUUAAAUUGAUUAAUAUUUUACACAAAUAUAUGACCAAAAAAUGACCAACUUAUCUAUCUUUAUUAUUAAUAAUAUAUUAAAAAAUAGAAAAAUAAAAAAGAAUGGACCACUUGAGAGUAAUGUAUUAUUAUUAAAAAUAGUACCAAUUUGAUAAUUAAAAAUAUUAUUACUAUGUAAAUAAUAAUUUAUACCAUACUUAAAUUAUUGCAAAGUGAUAAAUGUUUCAUUAAUAAAUACAAAUAUAUAUGUAUUAACAAUUAAAAAAGUUACCAAUGAUAUAAUAAAUAUGAUACUCGAUAAUUAAUAAAAAUAUUGUUUAAGAUUUUUGAAAGCCAUUAUUAUUAAAUAAUUAUACGAAGGUUAAAAUUGUUCUAAAAUAUCUCAAUUUAUUACCUAAGAUAAUAAUUGAAAAUUUAGGACAUUUGUGAAAUAUCGAGGGAAAAAAGCCUGAUUUCUCUAAAUCUUUCCUAAGAUUAUAGUAACCACUUAUUUUUAGCUAAGUAAACAGUAUUUUCUAGAACUUUCAAUUUUCUACAAUAGUUACUAUUUACUACAAUUGUUAUUGUUUUAUAUUUAUCAUAUUUUAAAUAAUUUGUUGUGCUAUAUUUAUUAUUUCCUCCUUAUUAAAUAAUAAAUAAGAAAGUCAUCUCCGACCUGGUUCCACUUCAUGAGCAUUUAUUUAUAUUCACAAAAAAUCACAAUGGAACAUGUUCAACUCAAAAGAAAAAUUUGUGAAAUUAGAAGGGACUUUGAGUUGUGAAGAUAUGAGUAACAGUGUUGGAAUCACAGGAAAGAAAAGAAGGACAAGGAAAGUUGAAGUAAAAAGAUAAUGAGAUCCCAAAUAUUUGUAGUUAUGGAGCUGGAAAGAAAUGAUUAAUGAUAUGAAUGAGGAUGUAAGAAAUAGAGAAAAUGGUAGAAACAAGAGCACCUUAGUAACUUCAAGUUGUACCCUUCCUUCCCUCUAUGCUCAAUCUCCCCGAUCAUCAUGGGGUAGAGGUGAAACCCACUUUAACUCAAUCUUUCCCAUUCUACCCCUCAAAAUUCUUCAUCGUCCUUAAGGGUAAAACCGACAAUUCCAGGGAGACAGCUUCUGAAAUUUGGGCUUUCCUUUUUUCAACAAUAUUAUGCCUAAACCAUAAACAAACGAUUCCUCUAUUAAUUACUACACACACACACACACAUAUAUAUAUACACUUUUAUUUGUAUUUAAUUAUUUAUCUACAGACUUUGAGUGUGGUGUAGAUUCUCUAAUUUCUUUUUAUAAUCUCAUCUUACUAUUUUAUCCUAUUUUUAUUUUAGUUUUAUUUUAAUUUGAUUGUUUACUAAAUAUGCAAAAAUAUGAAAUCUAGACUCAAAGUGUAAGCUAUAUGGAUUUGUUGUGCCUUUAUUACUCUAUUAGUUUUCAAAAUUAUAUUGUAGUGAACAAAUUUUCAUUUAUUUUAAUGGUCCAAGAGGAUGGAUGGAAUCAAAGACAAAGAGGGACCAAAGUGAAAUUAGAAAGAAAGCUAAGGAAUCAAAAAAAGAAAGAAAGAAAGAAAGAAAGAAAGAAAGCUUCCAAUUCCAAAAUGAUAAUAAUCCUAAACCCUUCCACUCUUUUUUGACUGAUUUGGAAUGUUUGGACCCCAAACUCCAUGAAAGAAAACUCAAAUGAAUUAAUACACAAGAAAAAUGGUUUCUUCUUCUUCUUCUUUUUUCCCCAUUGCUUUCUUCCCCUCAUCUGUUCAUCCAAACCCCAGUUUGAUUUCCUUUUCAUUUACUAAAGAAAAUGACAACUCCUCUGUCUCAAACCAAAUCUGAUUCUUGAGGUGACUUCCUUUACUCAAGUGGGGUUUUCAGAGUUUCUUCUAAGCAUUUCAUCAAGUACUUGGUGGGCAAUCACACACAUGGCUCAACAGGUAUUUCAUUUGUUUCCUUUUUCACUUUCAUUUGGAUUUUCCUUCCCCAUUCAUUCUAAUGCCCAUUUCUGAUAUGGGUCUUGUCUUGUCUUGUCUCUGUUUUCCCCCCCAUUAUUUCUCUGAUGUUUUCUUCAUUUUUUGGUGGGUUGUUUCAUUGUCUAUGUUUUUUCCACUUUUCCUUUAUCGGAUUGCUGUUUGUAUUUUUCUUUUUCUUUUAAUUUACUUUCUUGUUGAUUUGAUUGAAGGGUGAUGGAUGGCCUCUUGGUCUACAGCCUCUGAAUGUAAGAGUUGGGGUACCUGGAAAUCGUGACUAUUUGGGAUCAGUGUCUUUCAAUACUUUGAUGACUGCUUCUCCUAUUUCUUUCUCUGAUUCUUCAUCCGACUUGGACACUGAGGUCUGUAUUUGUUUUUUCUUCUUUUUGUUUAACUCAGAUUUUGAAUGAUAAAUGUCUUCUCUUGGUGUGUUUUUUGGGAAUGUGUUACCUCAUGGUUUAGUUUUGUUCUUUGCGUUUGGUUCCUUUUAAUCUACAUAGUUUUGGGAGUAAUGCAGAUGGAGAUUGGUCUUUUUUGUUUCUUGUUUGUUAAUUAAUCAAUGUUUGAGAGUAAUGCAGAUGGUGAUUAGUCUCUUUUUUUUUUUUUUGUGGCAGUGGCAACCAAGUGAUUGGUUUUUGUUAGCUAAUUAAUCCCAAUGUUUGUGAUAUUUGCUGAGUACCUGCAUACUAUUAUUAUUAUUGUCUUUUAUAUCCUUGACCAUUCAUAGGACAACAGUCUCAUCUUAAUAGUACUACUUUCAAUCAAAAUAACUUGUAGGAUAUAAAAUUAUAAGUGAGUGAACUCAUUUACUCUUAACCCUUUAUUAUUUAGGUGGCCCAGUAAGUCCAAUUCAUGGUGGUUUAGUUUUGGGAUAUUAUUUUAGUGUCGUAAUGUUAAGAUAAGAGAUUUGAACUCAUUUCUGGCCCGAAUCAUAAAGUUUGUGGUGUGAGAUGUGCCACUUUUUGAAGUGAGAAAAACAAGAAUAAGGUAGAUGCAGAUGUAUCUCAUUUCUCAUGAAGUCUAUGUCCUUUUAACUCGUCAUUUUGUACCAAGAGUAUUGGAAGAGGAUAAUUGAAUGUAUAUACUUUCAUGUAUUGCAUUUUUAAGUUUGGGAUAAGCGUUUGAUUUCACUAGUAGCAAGAGGAAACAAAGGGAUCAACAACAACUGCAAGACAUGAUCCCUUGUAAUCUUUUGGACUUGGUGGUUUUUGCCCAUCCCAUCUGAUAGAUAUAAGUAAUGCUUAUGGAAUUUUGAUGCUGAAGAGUUAGUUCAUAUGCAUAUAUGCAUCUCAAUAGUUUAAAAGAAAACAUAGCAAUUUUUAUAACUUUAAAAUCAGAGACACAGACACGACUCAUGACUAUCGAUCUUAACUUUGCCAUGCGUUUCGUUAAUAUUGCAGUCAACAGGAUCUUUCUUCCAUGACAAGAGCAUCACACUUGGGAGUCUUAUAGGAGUUUCCAACAUUUUAGAACUCUCAAGAAGGUCAAUCAGGGGAAGAAGAACAGAGAGCACAAAGGACAAGAGAAGCAAUACCAAGUCUAGAACAUGGUUUUUCUCUUUGUGUUCUAGGGAGAGUACCGAUGCAGAUAGCAUCGAAAGUGGCCCGUCGUUAGGCCAUUUCUUGGCAGAAGAAAGAAGAGCAGCCGACGAAAAUCGGAGAAAUAAUCAGAGUGAAAUCAUGUAUGGAGCAGAUGAAUUAGAAUUAGCUCAGUUUGGUCCAGAGCCAAACUCCCUAUUCAUCAAUGGUUGUGUGGCACCUCCUCAACCUAGCAUUGGUUCAGAAACUGAAAAUGGUGGAACUGAGCCUACAAAUGACAAUAGAGUUGCACUGAUUUGUUCUUGCAUUUGUGGACACUAAACCUGAAUGUUGAACUUUCGGUGUGUUUAUGAUAUUGAUUGAAUUUCUUAUCUUUCAGAAACAGAUAAAGAUAUCAAUUUACAGUGACCCUUUUUCUCUUUCUUUCUUUCUCCAUUUAUUAAGCGGAAUUUGUGAAGUUUUCAUCUGCUUUUUUGUCAUUUUCUUCUUUAACUUGCUUUCAUUCCAUCAGUCUGAUCGUGUGAGGAUAGAGAUAUUUCUACCUUCCUUUGUGUACGUGUUAUUUUUCAAAUUUAGCUUGAGUUUUGAUAAGUUUUAAAGAUCAUAGAAUUACUAGACUCAAAAUUUAGAAGUUUAGAAUUCAUUAGACAUAAAUUCCUAAACUUAUAUCCUAGUAUAUUAGUUUAUGAAAUAUUUAAAUUUUGUAGAUUCAUUAAAUAAACACAAACUAUUCUUGAACAUUAACUAAAACUAUGUGCUUAUUAUGAGUGUCUCUUGUCACAUAAUUUUGAAAAUUAUUGAAACUAUAAUACGUUUUCUUCUACAGUAGAUUAUCAAAUCAUCUAACAGCCUUUUUCAUCCUUACAGAGUAGCAUGUCUGUGUGUAUAUAUUGCAUACUAUUGCAAAAAAAAAUUGUGAUAUUUUAUUAUUUUUCUAAAUAUUUUUUGUUUUAUUAAAGGGGUGUAAUAUUGAUAAAAUUUGUAUCUCUAUAUUUGGUAUGAGUUGACUAACAGUGUUUCUUACAAUUAAUUUAUUAGUUUUUUCAAAAAUAAAGUUUUGUUGAUGUACACUACAGCUCAUCUAUUACUAUGAUAUUUAUUUAAAGAUUCAAAUUUGUAAAGAAAGAUCUAAAAUUUUAUAAUUUGAUCUUAUAAUUUUGUUACACUAUCAAUCCAGGUGGGCAGUGACAGUGUCAGUCAAAGAUGAAAUCAUUUCCAUUUCUGUUCAUGCUAGCAAUUUUUCCUCUUUUUUUUUUAAUCUUUUCACAUUUAUGAGAAAUUAUUGUUUCACUAUCUCUGACUAUUUUUAUACUUUAGUUUUAUUGUUAUUAUUAUUUUGUAUACAUUUGAAUAAUCAUCAUACCCUGUGUUUGAGUUCUAACACUAAUUUCUAAACACUGUCUGUUUAACUUAAAAUACAAAUACAUGAUAUCAAUUACAUAAGAAUAUUACUCAAUUCAAUACAAAAAAUUAUAUCAAAAUAUUUAAAAGAAUAUCUAAAGUUAUCCAUUGAAUGAGAUCAAGCAGUCUUACCCUUUGUUUUUUUCUCUUUUUGUGAUUAAUAAUAAUUAUAUGUUUUUAAAAAUAUUAAUUUUACAAAGGUAUUUUAAAAUAGCUAGACAUGUAUGAAUGAUGUAGCCACGUUGACUAAAUCAACGUCCAUAAUCAAGUUAAUUUAUUCCAUAAUUUCAUGGUAAAAAGAGAGCUAAAAUAUUUGAAUAUAAUAUAGUAUCUAACUUUUUUAUCACUAUAACUCUAUAUAUUGAAAAAAGUUUAUUUAUUAGUUUUCAAACUUUUAAAGACAUAAAAAGUUUAUAGUUUAAAAAAAGUCAUUUUUAGUCCAUACGUUUAUAUAAAUAAAUCUAUUUGGUUAUUCGAUUUCCAAAAUUUACCUUUCUAAUACUUAAAAUUAUAUAAAAAAAAAACAAUUUUAAAGAAGGUAUGAUUUUUAAAAAUUUUAAAAUAUUUAUAAAAUACACGAAGGUAUUUAAGAGAAAAAUUAGGGAUGAAUUGAAUCUAAUCUAAUAAACUUAGAUAUGUUUGAAAAUUUAAGGAGUAGAACUGUAUAAGAGUAAUUUUUUCAAAUACAUAUUAUUGGCAUAUAUCCAUAUUUAUAUUAGGCAUAUAUUAAAUGUAUAGUUGGUAUAUCAACAUAAUCAAUAUCUUAUUCAAGUGUCAUUGCUUUCUUUCAAAAUGCCCAAUUAAGUAUAUAUCAUUGCUAUAUCCACAUCAAUAUCAAUUAUAGAAAUCAUGCAUUUAGAUUAUAAAAGACAAACCUUAAUUUCAUUUUAAAUAUAACCAUAUAAUUCAAUAAAUCAUAGUAAAUGUAUAAUAAACAAAAUCCUACUUCCUAUUAAUCUUUUCAACUUUUUACCAAUAGCCCUAUAAGUUAUAACAAAUUUCCACACACAAUCUUUUCAACUUUUUACUAUUAGCUCUAUAAGUUAUAACAAAUUUCCACACACAUAUAUAUGUUUGAAAAUACUUUGUAUUUAUAUAAUCACACAUUGAAUAAAUAAAAAAGGACAUUAGUUAUUUUAUUAUUUGGUUGAUAGGUUAGCCAUAGUUUAAAAAAUAACAUAAAAUGCAAUAACUCUUAUUUCUCUUCGAAUUACAACACAUUUCUGUCAAUUUUAAACUGAAUUCAACCAUUUGAUUGUUGAAAAAUGGAAUUAGAAUUGCAAUUUGGAUAUUUUAGGCUGUCUAAGCAAUUGUUUAUUAAAUAGUAGACGAAAUAAACUUAUUUUGUAACUUUUAAAAGGCAAAGAAAUGAAAGUGUGUUAUGUUGUCAAAUUCUAAUCACAUUUUAGACUUUACUUACGACAAAAAAAAAAAUCUUAAUUUAUUCAAUUCAUCAUAUUUUUAUUUGUCAACAUUUAAACUUUCAAUUCAACCUAACUUUGCUAUAAAAAUAAAUAAAUAAAUAAACGUAAUUUUAUUUACCUUUUUUACCUUUAUUUAGAAAGAGAAAAACAAUUGAUUUAAAUGGUUUAAUCUUUGUUAUUGAUGUAGCACAAAAAAUACUUAGAUCAAAUUCAUAUUCAUAACCAACCAAAGAAAAUUCAUCGUUAACGAGAGAACUCUGGUGAGAACAAAGUUACUAAGUAAAGAUACUAAUGGUGAAAAGACCUCGUAUGACCUCUCUAAUUAAAUUGGACUAUUCAUAUCCCACAAGAAAAUUACAUAAUUAACUAAUUAAUUCUAACUAAACACUAACAAAUCUAAAUUAACUACUUAAAUAAAAUAUUAAACUAUUGUGUAAUUAUCCUCAUCAUUCACCCCGACUUAAGGAAAGAAAAAAGUUCUCAUGCUCGAGUUCGAGGUGAUAAAGUGAAGCUUCUCUUCUUCAACCAAAUUCAAAUUGUAAUUAAAUUAAUGCUCCGUAAAAAUAUCUUUACUAAUAAUAAUAUUAAUAUGUGUUUGAAGUGAUUUUAACGAAGCUAAAAUAACGAUGUUUGACAAUAAAAUAAAAUUCACUUUAAAUUGUUUUUGAAAUUUGACUGGUUUUUUUUUGUUUUUUUGGUGGUUGUAAGGGAUUCAUCCAUAACACUUUUAAAAAUUAUUAAAAAUAAAUUAAUAAAAUUAGAUAUUUAUUAAAAAAGUUUCCACAAUCGUUGCACGACCAACUUUCGAUUACAUUUUUUUUUUGUUACUACUAGCAGCAAAUUUUCGACAGCCAUCACCAGCAAACUUUUGUCAACCAUUUUUUAAUGGUUGUCGUUGACUAGGUUCUAAUGAUAGUUCUAUUACGAUGGUCGCCAGUCAAUCUCUAAUCGUGUCUUUGUCUAUUGUUUUUCGACAACUGCUAAAGACUACUUUUUUUGCAGCUGCUUCCAACCAACCUCUAAUGACCUCUUUUUGAAAUCAUUGUCGAUCAAUUUUCAACAACUAUUUCUUUAUGACAGCUGUCGAAAAACUUCAUGCAACCAAUGCCGCCAACCUCAGAUCUUCAAACAUCACUACCGAUCAAUUUUGGACAAUCACAUUUCAACAACUGACAUCGUACAACUUCCAUAGAAUUAGAUAUUUAUUACCAAUAAAGUAAUAAAAUUAGAUAUUAUUAGAAUUUCAAGUAACCAUAUUCUCAAGAAUCGAUUUCGUCCAAUUGUGGACGAUCGUGUUUCAGUGACCAUCAUUAACCAACUUCAACAACCACUAGUGACACCUCUAAUCAUCAAUCAUUAUUUGAGUCACCACCACUCACCAGAUUUUAAAUAAAAAGAAAAAUUUAAAAUAAGUUAAUAAAAAAAUAUUUAUUAUAAUUAUUUGAUAAAAUAAAAUUUAAAUAUAAAACAUAAAUGGGUAAUUUUAAAAUUAUUUUUAGAACCCAACAUAAUUCAAAAUUAGUUAUAAGUAUUUAAAAAUCAUUUUUAAAAGUUUAGAAGCAAAGAAAAGUUAAAAGUUUGAUGAUUAUAAAAUAAUUUUUACAAAAUCAAUUUAUAUAUAAAUCUAUCAUUCCAAAAUCACACUCUCAAGUAUAUGAGACUAUUCUUGGUCUUGGAAGGAUAUAUGGAAAGGUCUCGAUAACAUUCUUUUUUUUUUUUAAAUCAUGAUUUAGUUUUGGGGUGAUGACUCAUUUUAUAUUUAUUUUGUAUUUUAAUCAAUAAGCCAAUAAUGUAAUGAUCAUAACUUCUAUUUGGCUUUCUGCACUCACCAAAAGAGAAAAAUAAAAAAUGAUUUGGCUCUUUUUAAAUAUAUAUAUGUGUGUGUGUAUUUAUUAGUAAAAGGGAAAAGGUUACGUAAUUAGUGUAACUAAAAUAAUUAGAAAGAGAGUUGUACGCCUCCCUUAACUCUUUCCUCCACGUCACUCCAGGUGUCUACAUCUCCUUACAACUACAAUUAUGGCGUCAUAAUAAUGAUAUACUAAUUUAAUACCAAUAAUUGAUUUAUUACAAAGACAGACACACCAUCACCUGAGACACCUCUCCCCUCCUCGCCCACACCCACACCCACACCCACCUCCCUCCAUUUUUUCUUUUAUUCAUUUAUAUCAUUUCUAUUUUUUUUAUCAUAUAUAUAUUUACAUACACCUUUUACUUUUUUUAGUAGACUACCAUAGUUAUAUGCCUUUACAAAAUUAACAAAAAAAAAAAAAAAUAAUAAUAAUAAUAAUAUAAUAAUCUAUUUCGUUGUAUAUAUCUAAUUAUUUGUCGUAAAAAAAAUGAAUUAUUUUUUUCAAAUUUUUGUUGUCAUAUGAUGCAAUAUUUUAUAGUUACUUGUAAAAGAUUCAAACAACUCAUACUCAUACAGUACCACUUGAUCAUUUUUAUUUUUACUACACUCCCAUCAAAACUUACCUUAUCUCACUCUUUGAUGUAUAACUAAGAUAGAAAGUAUCUCGAGUUCAAAUCCCUUCACCGUAAAAAAAUGUAAUUUUAGUUUAUAUAUUUAUAAUAUAAAGAGUUUCUCUAUAAUUAAUUCAAUCUUACUUAUACGUUGCAUUUUAAUUCCUACGAAACAAAAAUUAAAUGGUUAGAAUUAAUUUUGCAAAAUACAAAUACUAAUAUUGGGUUAAAUUUUAAAUUCAUUUUAAAGAAAUUGUUGACAAAAUAUUUACUUCCUAAAAAAUUGAGUAUAAUGGUUUCUUUUUUUUAUAUAUAAAAUGUAAAAAGUUCAUUUUUUAAUUAUUAUUUUAGAAAAAGAAUACCCUUCAUUUAAAUUAUAUUUUGAAUUAAAAAAUAUAUAGACUAAAUGAAAAAAUUGUUUUAAGAGGCUUGUUGAAAAUACUUAUCAAUAUAAUAAAUUUCCUUUUCUAUAUGUGAUAGAGUAUAAAAGUUUGGUUUGGUGUAUUUAUAAAUAUUUUCAAACCUUUUUUUUGUUUUCCUUUUGAGUCUCACUCACCACCGGUUCAACUCGGUCCUAAUAACCCCAUCCAUUCAAGAAUUUAGAUAUUUAUCAUUCUUUUUUAAUAAAUAAUCUCUCACUUUUUUUUUUCUUUGACUUCUUCAAUAUCAAUUUAAACAAAUCAUAUUACAACUAAACAUGACCCCACAAAUAUGAAAAGUCACCAACCCAACCCAUUUCUUUUCUUAAUAUCUCUUAUUUCCCAAUUCUACAAGCAACUUUCUUCUUCUUUUUUUUCUUUUUUGGUUUUCUUUUCCCAAUCUAUAUUAUAUUACGUAUUGAUAGAGGCCCGGCCGACAUUAAAAGUUUAAUUGAAACCUUUUUGAUUUGUUUGCAAAUGCGGGAAAAAAGGAUCUUGGUUGGUAAAAAAGAUGGUAUGAUUUGCCAUUUCCACACCUAUUAACCAAGCUUAUCAACUGACUGAUUCUCUUCCGCAGCUAUCCGUCCAGAGUUCCGGCCACCGCCGAUCUUCCCAAAAGAGGUCAUUGACGACAACCCCUUGAAGCUGCUACUGCCACCUUCGCUGAAGUUGUGGGACUUUCUUCCCUUUCUCUGCUUGGAGUUAAUAGCUUCAUGGUCAUCUACUUCUUCCCUUUUGGUCUUUGCGACAACCAAAUGAAGAAUGUUGCUUCGACAGAACGGGCAAACCGGUGGCGUCAGGCAUGCCGUGGUUGGGUUCGGUUUACUGUGGCAACAAAGGGAAAGAGUGCAUUGAGCACACAUGACAUGGCCACAGUUUUGGACUUCAAUUGUGGAAGCUUGUUCAAAGCAAAUGGAGCAUAAUUCUGUAUCUUCAUCACUAAUCUGCAAAGAAGCCAAGUUUCCCAAUACAUAAAAGGGAUCUCAAAAGCACUUGAAAAUUCUCAACUAAUCAAUGGGAUGACAGACCCAUACCGAAGACCUAAAGCAGAAAAGCUAAUCAUUUUUUAAAAAUCUGAGAAAAGUGAAGAGAAUUGAUAAUUGAAAUUGCAGAUAUUGGGACCAUUCAUCACGUGUCUUCUAAGAGCCUAAGUUGAAAAAAAGCUCUCUAAGAAACAAAUGACAAGUCUACAUUACAUCAGAGAUGCUUUCAGACGUAAAGUGAAUACCUCCAAAUUGGGAAAGCAAUGCCACUAAUAGUGUGGAAGGACAAAACCUUCAAAACCAUCAAUAUCUUAUCAAUCCCCAUAACUUUGUUUCUUUACCUAUGAUUCUUAACUCGAAAAUUUUUUGGAUUUAAACGCAAAACUUCAUAACGUCGAGUCAAAGAGAGUCAUGAGUCAUGACUUUUCAAAUACCGAAUGGCUGCCGUGUUUGAAAUCCACUUUAAAAGUUAAAGACAUUCUUUAAUGACAAAGGAAAUUCUUGAUUACCUCAGACAAAUUGUCAUCCACUGCAUCGGAAUGCGAUGGAGAGGGUAGUCCAGGAGAAUUUGUCUUCAAGAUGUUCUUCUCUCUCUCCCUGUUGGCUUCCAUUAGAGCCUGUUCUAAUAAAGCUUUUGCUUCUUGAUUAAGCUCAUUGAUAAAUUUCAAGGGUGAUGGCCAAACAAGUGGCUCUGUGGAUGAAGGAUUCAGCAAGGCUGCACAAGUUCCAUGUCUGUGCUUCAUAGCAAUUACAUAGGGAAUUCUCCUGUACACAGAAAAAGUGAUAAUCCUGGCCUUAAUUACCUGAUUCAUAUGCAAUUAGAACUAGUUUAUGAUGUAAAUUAGUAUGUUCUAAUACCCGGUGGAAUCUCUCUGAAGACGAUCCGCCCCCCAAGCUAACAAUUCCCUGAUGCAAUCCAAGGAACCCCCACGAGCUGCCAAAUGAAGAGGUGUACUUCCUUGGCAUCUGUUCAUAGAAAUUUGUCAAAUUCAACUCAAAACAAAAGAAAGUUGAAGAAUACUUGAUAUAGAAAAAUACCCAUAUCCACCCGUUGAAGCACUAACAAGAGCUCCAUUAUCCAACAGAAUAUGAAUACAUUCAGGUCGUCUUUGACGAGCUGCUAAGUGUAAAGGGGUUGCUCCUUUACCAUCUCUAAUAUUCACAAAUCGUACAAAUCCCCUAUUGACCAAUAAGUUAACCAAUGAUUCUAGAAUGAAAAGUUAAUGAGUAUUUGUUAAAAGGGAGCGAUCAGCAACAAAUACCAGGAAGCAGCAACGGGGCUUGAUUGAGCUGCAGAAAGAAUGACUUCUAAACAAUCAAAAUGGCCAUAAUAAGCAGCAUAAUGCAAGCAAGUUCUCCCGUGAAGAGAAUCAAACUUCAAAAUCUGAAAAAAUUUAUACCCAGAUUAGUAUAUUUCAAAUCAUUGGUUGUGAAAAGUAAAAGGAAUAGAAUCAAGAUAUGGGAUUCGAUCGAUUCUAUACAUUUGCUCCAACUUCAAGGAGUUUCUUCAAACAAGAGAUCUUCCCAUGCAUUGCUGCCAACAUAAGUGGAGUCUAAAACAAACAUUCACAUUAAACAAUCAAAACCCAGUAAGAAGAAACAAUUCCGAAAUAAACUGAUGAAAUUAAAAUUAAAAGAAGAAUCCCUCACCUGUUUGUGACGAUUCAACAAAUCCGGAUUAACAGAUCGUUCCAAAAGUAAAGAGAGGAUCUAAUAAUGAAAAAAAAAAGAAAAAAAACCCAAAACUCAAAAUCCCCAAUCAAUAAACCAAAACAGGUAAACGAAAGAAAACGAAACCCAAAUCAAAGAAGAAAGAAAAAGACAACAACAAACCUCGAUCUGCCCAUUAGCAGCAGCAAAAUGAAGCGGAGAUUGACGAUCAUAGAGAGUGGUAUUAUGCAACAAAGAUGGUUGGUUAUUCAACAAAAGUUGAACCAUCUCUAAAUCCCCACACUGUACAGCACUAAACAAUCCAUUCUCAUGAGUCGCACUGCAACUCAGACCCUGCCCCAUCUUUCCUCCUCUGCUUAAAACGGUGAAAACAGAGGGAGAAGAAAGAAACUCAAGAGAGGGGUUGGACGCAGGCUCGGAGCUCCAUUAAAGGAUCAGAAAUGGAGGGGAGUGGCAUGGAAUACGAAGAAGAGGUCCAUUAGGACCAUUACUAAAUACUAUCGGUAAUGGAGUCAGAGAAGGAUGAAAUUGGGAAAAGAGAGAGAGAAGGGUGACCGUAGAAGCAAGGGAGGGAGUUGAAAUGGUGACUGCGGGCAGGGUUCAGAUAUUUCUCGGGCAGUUAGAUUCCUAAUGUUGCGCAAUUGGGCAACAAAGUCAGAUACUAAUAUUCAUUAAAAAAAGGUAUUUUUCUUUUUAAUCUUAUACUCUUUUUUAUUUUUUCAUUAAAUUAUGUAAUGUUUCUUAGUAAAUCAAAGAUGAGCAUUCAGCACCCUUUGCUUUUUUUUCUUUUCUCUAAUUAUUUUUCUUUUUUAUAUUCCAACCUUCCCACAAUAUGAAUAAUAGAGGUUGAUAUAUUUUAAUUUAUUUUACUAUUAAUUAACUAUUUCAAUGGAAAUAAAGUUUGUUUAAAUUUAAAAAUUAAAAGUCGGAGGAAAUGAAAAAUAGAUCCAAAAUUUAAAUCUGAAAUAUUUCCUUUCCUCUCUCAAUAAUAAUAAUAAUGAAUGAAGAAAUGAAAAUUUUGAAAUGAAAACAAAGAAUUUGAUCAAACUUGAUUAAUCUCUGUCCCUCCAUUUUAUUAUUAUUGCUAUUUUGUCAGAUUUCAUUAUCAAAGAUGUUUAUUUUAAAGUUCUUAACAUUUUAAAAAUAAAUAGUUUGGUCCUUUUUCUUUGCCUAUAUUCAAAAUUUGGCACCUUAAUUUCCCAAAAUUAAUUUUACACAUCUUACUUUUAAUCUAUGAACCCUUCAAAACUUCAAUUUUGGUUAUAUGAUUUUAAUAAAUCUUAAAAUUUGCCACCAUUUUGUUUUUUUUGUUUAUUAGCAUUUUCACCAUAAUUUUUUUUUAAAUAAUAAUUUAUUUUUUAAAAAAAUCACUAUUAUAUAAAUAACAAUGACAAUAAUAAUAAUUUCAAGAAACUAAAAAUUUAAAAUAGCAAGAUCAAAUUGCCCUCUUCUAUAAACAAACAACAACAAAGGAUCAAUCACAAAUAUAUGACCCUUAAAUUCAAAUUAUUGACAUAUAUAAUAAUAUUUUUUAAAAAUUAGGAAGAUAGUAAAAGAUGUCAAAAGUCUUAUCAAUAAUACCAAUAAAAAAAAAUAUUGCUUAUAAAGUUUAAAAUUACUAUUUAUUGUAAUUAUAAAAAAAAUAAUUAAAAAUCAUAUUAAGUUUUUACUAGUUUAGUCUUCCUUUAAGAUAUAUAUAUCAGAAUUAAAAUUUUGAAUUUAUAUUUAAUGAACAAGUUCGAUGACUAAAGCUUACUAUUUUGCAUUUAGAUUUUAGUUAUUUAAAAUUAGGUUUAUAAUUUAAUUUUUAUUUUGAACGAUCACUUGCAUUAUUAGGUACAUGAUUGAAUUUUUAGUCAAAUUUUUUUAAAAUAAAUAAAUAAAGUUAUCUGUUCUGUUUUCAAAUUUUGACUUGAUAUCAAUAAACAUAAAAAAACAAAAUCAAAAUGGUUAAAAAAAAGACCUAAAUUUUAUAAUUUACUAAAUUUUUAUACGAAGGUUUCAAUCAAAUGUAACACGUGCUAUAAGCUAGAUUAUCAUACAAAAUUAUAUACAUACAAAAGUUUGUGAAGUUAAUAAUUAAACCUAAAAUCAAAAUUAAGGUUAUAUAUGUUAAAAAGAAUAUUGUAUAUAUGAACACAGCAUUUUGUAUAGCAUGACUAAACAACUUUGUCGCGUAAAAAGGAAGAUGAUAAGCAAGUUACAACCCUACGUUACAUAUUCUUUUUGUGCUUUCUUUUGAAAUUUAAUACAUAUUAUUUUACUUCAAUUAUUUUAUAUUAUAUGGUUUUAAUUUGUGAAGGUUACCAACUUUGAGAGAGACAUUACAUUUCAGUUUAUUGAAAAUAAGAGAAUAUGAAAACGAAAUUAAUAGGCAUUUCUAUAUGCCAUCACUCAACCAAAUUCUUUUUGUAGCAUGUGGUUACAAUUUCUCUAUGUUAUCAAAUGGGGGUCUAAUUAGUACUACCUUUAACUUAAAUAUUCUCUCUAAAAAAAAAACAUUUUCAAUUUUAACUCUUUAAAUUUUGGUCUUUAUCUCAAUAUUAAUUGUAAUUUACUCUCUAUUUUAUAUCCACCAAAAGUAAAAAUAGAGAAAAAGAAAUUGUAAUUAGAUAUAUCGUUAUUUUUUAUAAUAAUAAAUAUUCUUUUAAUUGAGUUAUACUUUAAAAUUAGUUGAUAUAAUUAAAAGAAAAUAUUAAAAUAAAGUACUUAGUGUUAGUUUGAUGUUAAUUUUUAUCAAAAUGUGAAAAAUAACGAUAAUAGUUGUCUGAAUGCAUCACCUCACAUUAAAAAAAAAAAAAGAAGAAGAAGAAGAAGUAUUGUCAAACUAAUACUUUUAGAGAAGAGAACUUUACAACACAAAAUGCUAAAAAAAUGAGUGCAUCAAGAUGCACCAAAAUAUUCCUCAUUUCAUAUUUUUUAUGUAUCUUUAGUUAGAUUUUAUUCUCUUUUCAUCUUUAUAUAUUUCUUAUUAGAAGUAUAAAUUUUAUUUAGUCUAUAUACUUUUGGAAUAUUGAUUUUUGGUCUCUUUGUUUAUUUUCUUUUUCUCUUUCAAAAUAUCCAUUUUGAACACAAGUGGAGAAUGAAAAUUGGUUAUUUGAAAAUAUCAAACUGUAUGUGUACAUCAAAAAUCAAUUAAUACAAUCUUAUGAGAACAUACUAUUGGAAAGUAGGACGAUCAUAAUAGACAAAAGUAGGUGACAAAAAUAGAAUUUAAUGAAUUUACGUUUGCCUUAUACAACAUUAAAUUUUAGAUUCAAUGUUCAUCAAUAUUUUGAGAGUGGUUUUAAAUUAUUUUUUUAAUCCUUCAAAAUCAACCUUUAAUAAUAUGAAUAUUGUGUUUAAAAGUGUUUUUCAGGAUGGUUCUGAACUAUUUGAAAGCAUGCAAUGCACUUAGUAUUCAUCUAAAUCUCUUCUAUCAUUAAUUUCUUAAAAGAGAUUAAAGUCUAGCAGAGUAGCAAUAUUAGCCUAGAGCCUAUAAAUUUUGCUUUUACUCUUAAUUUAAGUCUUUAAUGAUGGCAUUUAAUUUUCUGCAUCCAUUUCCUAUUUCCAGCAUCCAAAAUUUAUCUCCCCUCCAACUAUAAAUUAGAGAAGAUUAUAGGGUGUGAUAAUGAGGUCUGAGUAAAGCAAAAAUUGAUUAAGAAAGAUAAUAACAUUUGAUAAUGUGGUCUAAGUAAAGUAAACACAAAUUAUCUUUAACUUUUUAACUCUCAGAGAAUCAAAAGUUUACUGUUUAAAUUAAGAAAUAUCAUUUUGUUAUCAUCAUUAUUGUCCCCUCCCUUUCAGAUCUUUUUCUUUUCUUGGCCUUACUAUUUGCAUACUUACCCUAAUUACUUUGUUAAUCUCAGGCCUCAACUCCAAUGUACUAAAGCUCACUCCCCAUUCUAAUUGCCACUGCCACUUCCAUUUACUAUUUCAAAAAUACGUUUAUUUGUACAACAAAUCCUCCGUUUGUCACACACAUCAACUAACCUAAAUAGAGAAUAUAUAACCCUAAUUCUCUUUCGACAGGGCAUAUCCUAUCAUAGGUAUUGUGAUCGACAUAAAUUCAAAACAAUAGCAACAAAGUCAAAAGAAUAACAAGUUUUAGUCUAAAAGUAAAACCCUAGAAUCACAAUUGGCUUAAGAAAGAGGAUUGACUUGGGGACUCGAACUUGGCCUUAAUUGAGGUUGAGCUUAACAAAAUGUUUAGUGAGAUAUGCUUGCACCUACUCCAACUCAAGAACAUUGUCCCAGGAUCAAAGGGGUUUAGAGGAGAAGUCCAUCUUAACCUAGUAAAAUAGUCAAUGAGCAUCUUUCUUGCAUGCUUUGUCCAAUGAGAAAAAGAGUAAACCUAAUGUGGCUCCUAAAGAAGAACCAUCUGUCAGUGCAUCAUUAUAUCUUCAAAGAAAGUAAAUUAAUUCUCACUAAAAUUUUCAAGCUUUCACACUCUUUCACUCUCUAACUAUGUAAAUUUUCCUUUACCUUCAAAGUUAUGAUUCAGGUUUCUCAACAAAUUUACUGUUGUCUAACUUGAAGUUACGAGCCUUUUUCCUAUCUAGAUUUUGACAUUAGCUAUUAGUAAAAAGAAUGAACACAAUGAGAGAAUAAGUAAGACGACAGAUGAACUUAUAUGGUUGCUUCAAUCAAUUGGGUUCUCUUUGUCAGGAAUACAGUAAGUUGCUCCUUCGAGUUCGAAAUUUGACCUGUACUUAUCAAAUUACCUGUGAACACACGACUUGGAGUUAAUAGAGUGGAAAGGGGCAAGUAGAAACCAAAAGGCAGUAGCUGGUAGGGAUUAUGAUCGAUCUUGCUACGUUUCCUAUAUUUUCUUUAAGAAUAUAUAAGUUAAUAGGCACAGAAAAUUGUAGAAACCAACACAAAUUCGUUUCCCAGAGAAUGAUUCCACGUAAACACAAGUUUCAUUGUUUUGAAACCAUGAACUCCUUUACAUUCUGUAAAAUUCCUUUGUCAUAUGGGUUUCUGAACUUCAUUUCACUGGACCUUUGGCCUGUAAACCACCGAGUUACAUAAUAGUUAUACAAAGAUAUAUAUAUGAUAUAUAUUCCCAUAACUGAAGUCAUAGUUCUGUGCAAGGUAUUCUUACCCUGCUCAGAUUGAACAACAAUUUGAAAUUCUGGAUACCUCUUCCAAUGAAUCUGAAACGGAGAUCGAUCCGUGUGGUGAAAAGAACAAAACACUAAAAGGAAAAGCUUUUUAAAAAGUAGAUGAGUCCUAUUUAGUCAAAUGGUGAGUUUUUGCAAUUUGCAAAGCAAACAGUCCACUCACAGUUUUGGUACCUGAAGAACUAUUGCAAUUGAUUUGUUUUGGUUGACUUCCAAAUUCAAAAAAUAAGGCCAAUCGGUGACCACUUGGUUCUUUUAAUUUUUUAUAAUUAAAUUUAUAUAAAAUAUUUUCUCAUAUAAAUUUAUUAGUUUUAUUAUCCACUUUUUUUAUUGAUGAUUUAGAAAAAUAACUUCAGACCAAAUUUAAAACUAAAAAAGAGUUUAAAGAGUUUAAAACCUUAUUUUUAGAAUUUGACCCAGGUAGAAAAUUAAAAACAAAAUUGUUAUCAAAUAAAAAUUUAGUUUUUAAAAAUUAAGCUAAUAAAUACUAACAUGUUUUAUUACCCACUUUCUAUUUUGAAAAAAUGAAGUCAACUUUUUCGAAUUAUUAUUAGUUUUUAAACUAUAAAAAAUAUUCUCAGGGUUUGUGUCAAAAAUAUUUGAAAAGUUUCAAAAAUAUUUUUGAAACCAAUCACAAAAUUGGACAUUUAUAUAAUUUAGCCUUUUUUAUUUUAAGAAAGAUCUGUGAAAACCAUACUUAAAAGUUUCAGAGGAAAUAGAGAUAAAUUUUUAAAAAAAUGAAAUUGAAAUCCAAUACAACCUAAGCUUUCAAAGUUUUGUUGUGUUAAUAGGUCUCCAAAUUUAAGAAGUGUAAUCGUUUCUAGAACUUUAUAAAUGUAUUGGAGGACAAAAUUUCAAUUUCAAUUUGGUAUUUAGAUUAUUCAACAUUUUAAAAAUUCAUGAACCUCCUAACUAAAAAUUUUAGAACCAUGAUAUUUCCAUUUGUAUCUAAUAAAUCCACGAUUUAUCUUUAUAAAUGAAUAUUUAGUAGGUUCACAAUUACCCACAUGAAGACUAAUUGGGGGAAAGAUUAUUUGCACUAUACAGUGCUAGCAGUUAGGAACUUACCCAUUCGUCUGUUCUAAUAUUGAAGCAGAUACAAUAUAUAUGCCACGAGAAAAACGCCACCUAAAAACAGUAAAAGAUCCAUCACCAUUUCCACGAAGACAAUAUCUUAAUGACUAGUGUCAACUAAAAGAAACUGCCUCCUAGACAAAAUAAAAAUGACAGAAAUACACCUGCCAUACUAAUUGUAGAAUAGAGAAUAGCAUGGUGCUCCUGGCCACUUUCCUUGAGAAAUUGACCUGAACAGUUGAUGAAUAUACCGAGUUAGUAACAAAGGCAAGGGUUCUUGACAAUCCAUAAGCAUGAUAAUACAAGUAGCUGUUAGCAACCAAUGCAAAGAAUACAGAAACAAACCUCUAACCUAGCUCCAUCACCAUCAAGAAGUUCAGACACAGCCGAAUCUGAAAAAUCAGCUUACCAGUAAAUACACUGCAAUAAAGCUGAAAAUGUGGGUAUAGAUAGCGAAACACUUACAUUGAGAUGAGCACGUUAUGUAAGUAGCUUCAGUCCAGAUAAAUCCAAAUAGUAAAACCAUGAAGAGGACAUAAUUUUUAUGCCCUGCACUACAAGCGUAUGCAACAUACACCAUAUUAACUGAAGUGAUGUAAUCACAUUUGACUUUAAAUUAUUAAAAUGAGGCGAUGCUAACCUAAGUAGAGAAAUUAAAUUACAGAUUUUUACAGGAGUGACGAGAUAUAAGCUUUAACUAAGAUCUUCUUUGAUGCCAUCAUCUACUAUUUUACCAAUACAGUUUCCGAAUGCGGGGCAAUGGUGGUCAAAGCCUUUCACAUAUGUCUUGCAUAUUGGACAGCAUCUCAACCUAUCACCCAAUCCAAUAUCCUUGGAAGAAGAACAUUAGCCAAAAGUUAGAGACCAGUCGAUUACUCAAAGAAAAGAGCAAGAACUGCUAUGGUAACAUAAACACCUACAAACUAAGCAAUGCCCGCAAUAGUAAUAUUAUAUUUGACAUGGCGAAGAAUAGUAUUACAUUCAAGUUACAGAUUAAGAAAUAAGAACAUUAUAGAUUUUGCAAAAUCUAAAUCCAGAAUCAUUCGAACCAAACACAAAAACAAAAGCAAUAUCAACACAAAAUUUGAAAUUUUGUAUGAUGGCAUACAUAAUGAUUUUGUUAUUUUCUUAAAAACUAGAAAGAGGCAGAAAGAAAUACAAAUAACUAUUUCACUUGAACGCCUGAGAUAAGGAUUACUCGUUAAGAGUUCCAUUUUCUGCAGGAAAAAGAGCUAGAUGGCUUAGGUUUCAAGAUAUUAUAAACUUAAUAAGCUCAAUUAAAUUUUCAACCUGAUGGUGAGUGUCAAUUUCUAAAACUGAACUUUGGGGAAUUGCAUCCGAAGGCGAUGGACUAUGUGACACUAAACCAGGAUCACUGAGUAACAUCCUGCCGGUAUAAACCUGUAUGUUAGAAUAGUAAAUAGAACCGCCAGCCAAGCAGGCUUCAGUAGGUACUAGCAUAGCGUAAAGACAUUUUGUAAUAUAAUGAGUUAUGGAGUAAAGGAGUCGUGAGAAAUGAACAGGAAAGUCGGGAAACAGACCUGCAAAGGCCAAAGAUGAGCAAGAUUAUCUGCCCAUUAAACAGAAGAUUCAUCAAAAGCGAAGCAUCUGCAAGGCAUAUAAGAUAUUGUCACUCUAAGCUUGCAUGGAGUAGAUAGCUCUGUUAUAUUUCUUUUUCAAAUUUUGGUGAGAAUCUACUUUUUUUAUAAAAGAAACAAGCUAACCUCAUUGCAUGGACUACAUCUCUCAUUGCUAAUUAGUUUUUAAAUGAAAACUCAUGUUAUCUAACAUGAUAUCAUAAUCCAUAAAGCCCAACCCCGAUUUGGCAUUCAUUCCAAAAACGAAAAUUUGAAUCAGAUCCAAAAUGGUAAACCAAAAGUGACUCCAUCUUGAUGAGACGAUCUCGCCAUAGAAAAAUAAGGGUCCUUACAAUCUUAACAAGACAUAUAAGUUUUUUUUUCCAUAGUGAAUUGGCCUUGAGAUAUGUUAUUCAAUGAAUUCAAAUAAAUCAGUGAGAGAGGUAGAAUACUCAUUGAAUUGGUCUGUGAUGAACUAAAGGAACUUUCGUCCUUCAAAUCGAAUAGAAAGAAAUCGUCGGUUAGAAUUUGGGGGAAGCCAAGUACAAUCCCGCCAGUCCUAUUGAAAUGAAUUGCGAAGUGUACAGUUGACAGAAGAUUCAAUACUCGUAAUUCUCAAGACUCUAGAGAGCAACUUCUACCUCUAGAAUGAUUUUUCAGGUCAAAAUUAUUAGUUCAGUAUCACGUUAUGCCAGAAUUUCACCUUCUGGAUCAUUCACAGCAAUCUGUUCUUAAGUAGAAAAUUGAGAAACAAAAAUAACACUGAGAAAAGGACCUUGUCGAACAACAGCUAUGUAAACCAGCCAGACGAAAAGUACACUGAAGAAAACGAACGCUGGAGCAGACGAGCGGAUUCGAAUAAGCCGCCUGCACCAUCCAGCAGCGCUUGCAACUGUUAGAAGCAUCACAGCUGGAAAAAAAAACAAACAAACAAACAAAAUAACCUCACAGUUAAUGGCAAUCAUCAAUGGAGCUCCGAAAAAGAAACAGGAGAGAGAUAGAUAGAGAGACCUGAAAGUAGGAGUUGAAUGAAGAAGGACAAAUCGGAGAAGAAGUGAGGAACAAGAAAUUGGGUGCUUUGAGUAAGCAAAACAAGUAAUAGAGAGACUAUGCAACGACCGAUCAGAUCCGGCCAUUUCGCCGGUUUCUUCCGGUCAUGUAAUUCCACCAUUUCUUUUCAAACAAAAAAUCUGAUUCGUGGAAGGGACGAUCGAUGAUUGGUCACUGUGCCUGAAAAAGCAGGCUACUAUUGGGCCUUACGUAUAAUUUAAGCCCAUUACAAUCGGCCCAUGAGUCGCCCACAAACUUGGAAAUUGGCGGAGGAUGAAAUUGUCAAAUAAUUUUAUUUUAUUUUUCAAAAUUUCAAAUUUUAGUUCACCAAAAUAAUGUAAAUUUUUUACUUUAAAAAAUAAAAUAAAUAAAUAUGGAUUUUAAAUAUAUAUAACUAUUGCAUCUUCUAAAAAAUUCAACCAAUCAGCGAAAGGUUAUUUAAAUUUAGCUGUAGGGAUUAAAAAUCCAUUCAUCAUAAAAUUCAAAGCUUUCACACUUUGAUUAUCUAACUUAAGUGUCAAAAUAGUGCAUGUGGCAACAUCAUUAAUUAUGUGGAUCACUUUUUUUCUCUCUCUAAAUGAAUCUGUGGUUGAUGUCAAAAGAAGUAGGUCUUUCUUUAAUUUGUGUACCGCUAAAAGGAUGAAAAACACAAAAGAAUAAAUAUGGUAAUACUAAUAAUCAUUUUAAUACGGUAAACUAUGUAUUUACUUUAUUAUAUCAAAGCUUUAACUAACAAAUGUGUUAUUUCAUGUUUCUUCGGUCAAAACUGAUGCCUUUUCUAUAUUUAAUCAAACCUGAAAAUAAGACCCGCUGAAAUGAAGUCUAGCAGUCUAAUAUGUACAACUUAAAAACCUAAUAAAUCAAAAUUAAAAACAACCGGACAUACCACACUUUCUUUUAUUUUUCGGAUUGGGUAUGGGUUGAAAAUUUUGAAUCAACCCAGUCUAAUCCAAAUUACUAUUGUUUUCUUUUCCUUUUUUUUCUCAAUUUUAUGAAAAACAUAUUUGAUUUAUGUUUAUUUUCAUUUACAAAUAUUAAAUAAUAAUAGAAUGAGUUAGAUUGAAGAUGUGUUCGAAAUUGAAUGUAUUUAUUUAGACCAUAGAUAAGUUAAGGUGGCAUCUGGGUUUCCUUUCCCGUGUGGAGUGCACAUAUUUGGGGAAUGGGGACAAUAAGGGGCCACAGCUGAAGAAGUAGAGACAUUCCUGAUUGGGUAAAUUGGUUGAUUUAUAUUCGGCUCGAUGAAGGCUCACCCUCACUUAGCAGAGUUCAGCCUUUAACCAACUAAAUCGCGGCACGUCAACAUUUUCCAACUACUAAAACUGCAUGCGGCCCACAUGUACACAAAAGUCCAUUUUUUUCCAGACUGCUCAAGCAUAUCUGAGGGUUCAAUAAAUCCAUAUGACACGUGUAGAAUCUGGAUCUAUUCAAAGGUGGACGGUCUUCGCCGUCCCAUUAUUAUUAUUUAAACAAGGUCACGGCGUAGGUUUGAUCAUCCAGGAAUUGGGCCCCUGAGUUUUGGACCGCUUUGAUUUGUUUGUGACUCAAUUUACGUUUCACUCAAUCCAAUCAACAUUUCUCAUAUUUUUUAGAAAGAUUUGGAAAAAAUAAAUUAAUUGAAUAAGAAAUUUUACCUAUCUUCCCAUUUCAAAAUUAUUUUCUUAAAUAGAAAAUAUAAUAUUUUAUGGACAAUUUUAAUCUUUCAAUAAUUAUUAAUUAUAUGUUUUAUUUAUAACAUUAUUUAAAAUGAUUUGAAUUUAAUAUGAAUUCCACGAUUUUCUUAAUUUUUAAUUUUUAAUGUGAUCAAUCAAUAUGGUAAUAAAUUUUAAGUAUCUUCUCAACUAACUAUAAAUAAAAAUAUAUUAUAAUAUGAGUAAUUUUAGUCUAAUUUGUAAUAACCGUAUGAUAUAUUUUUUUCAAUACUAUAUUUUUAUCUAUUAUUCUUUAUGGCUGACAUUCAUUAUUGUCCAUCACUUGAAACUUUUCAAAAUUCAAUCACAAUUUUUUUCACAAUUUUUCGACAGUCAAAUUUGUAUUCAAUUUUGUAAUAAUCAUAAGAUGCAUCUUCUUUACAAGUCGCCAUCAACUGAAGCUAAGACAAUUUUCACAGGAAGUCAUUUUUUCUUUUACUCGUUUAAAAUUAAAUAGUUAAACACCAAAACUACAUGAUUAGAUCAGAGUAUAUCAUUUGCGUAUAUAUCGUAUAUUUUAACGAUACACCCCUCAUUUUAGUGGUUUUCUGAUGUGAUUUAGUAAAUAUAUACCACAUAUUAAUUAUAAUUAUAUUAGUUUUAUAAUAUUAUUGCAAUAUAUAAUAGUUUGUAUAUGUGAUUUAUUAUAUAUAUAUACUACAUCUUGUUUACAUUUAUAUUAGUUUUAUAAAUUACCCGUAAAAUAUUAUAUACCAUAUAUUAUUUACAAUUAUACUUUAUGUAAAUUUGGUUAUGAAUGGUGAUCUAAAUAUUUUUUAUGGAUGAUUUUCUCUCAUUAUGCUCGUUCUGACUGCUUGCUUGUAAGCAAAAAUCUCUAUUUCUAUUUUCUAAUUAAACAUUUAAAAAAUGUCACGGUAUAUAGAUAAUAGUAUGUCAUAUAUUUCAAUCAUUUUUCUUAUACAUACCUUUACUGUUUUAUUUUUCACAGCUUCUCUUUGAUUAAUAUGUUUUUUUUUCUCAAUUUCUUGGUCUGCAACAAACAUUAUAAACUUCAUUUUCAGUUUAUGUUUUAAUUCAUAAAAUCACUAAUACAUAAAUGAUUUAAGAAAUGUAAUAACCUUCAUUUUCAGUGCUUUUUUUUCUAUUUUUUCUACUUCAUUUAGUAGAGUUGUGUUGUAUACCAUGUCAUAUAAGCUCUCGUUCUAUCCAUCUUAUCAAUCAAUAAUACAUACACAAUACUAAAUAUAUAAUUUACAUACGUGUUUAAAAAAAAAUACAUAUACUAGUUGUAACACCAUAUCAUUGCAGCUUCAUUUUCACUAUUUACUAUUGUAGUUUUGUCCCCUUUUUCAUCCAUAUUUAUAUUUUCUGUAUUACCAUCUUCUCCAUCGUCCAACAAUCUGUCAUCUCUUUCACCGUUUUCUCCAUCACGAUCCUCAUCCUUAUCUUCCCAAUUUUCUUCUUCAGUCAUUGAACUACUUCUAUUAGUCUUUUUUUUUUUUAUCUCUUCAACCUCCCAAAUGAGUUUGUCCAACUUCUUAUUUAAUUCUUCAUUGUUUGCGAACAUAAUUUUCUCGAAUUUUAGCAUUUGCUCAGAUUCUUUAAAAAUUACAUGUUGGCAUUUGCUCAACAAUUAGAACAUUCAAGAUAUACCCAAUGAACAUUUAAAAUAUACUCAAUAUCUAUAGGAAAAACCCUCAUAUGGCGGUCCUAAAAAAUGUCUUAUUCACUCUGAAACCUCAAUAAACCCUAGGAUAUAACACAUGCAAAAUUUUAUUUUUUGUCUCGUUGUCUAUUCAGUCUAAUAUCUUGAAUAUAUGUAAUAUACCAAAUGUCUACUAUGUAUUGAAUAUAUACAACCUAACCUCGUAUUUUUCGACCGUCGAAAAACAGAUAAACUGGUCGGCCGUCGAAUAACUUCUUCACUGUUGAAAUCGAUGAAACCCUUCUUUUUCACUGUCGAAAAAAAAAAUCAUCAAAUAACUUCUUCACUGUCGAAAGGGAUUUGAUUUUUUUGAAUAUGGAAAGUGAGAAAACUGCUCCAUCACUUUCCUAUUUUAAUGACAUAUUCUCAUUAUAAUUAAUAUUUUUGUAUAUUUUAAAACAAUGAAAAAAAUACCAUAUGGACAUAUUGGUAAUUUGGACCUAUUUUUGUGUAAUAUCGUGGUCCAUUUGGUACAUUUGUGUAAAAUAUUAGCAAUUUGUGUUUUUUUGUAAUAUCCAUGGUAAGUCAGGCUAUAUGAGUUAAAAGACUAUUUUUUUUUAUUCUACUUUUUUAUUUCCCAUCUCUAAUAUUUUUAUAUUUCAAUACAUUUGAAAUAAUCAUUUGAUUUUCUUUUCCAAAUCAGUUUGGAUUGGUUUGUGCCAAUUAAACUCUCCAUUUUCGUAAUUUAAUUACUAAAUACUUCAAAUCACAAUAAUUUUGGAGAAAUUUUAUGUGUAUAUAUGUUUACAAAACUUCACCUAAUUUUAUUGAAUACGUUUCAAAAGGAAAAAAAAAAAAAAAAAACACAUAAAGUUGAUUGAGACAAAUUGUUCAUUUUUUUAUUUUAUGUGAAAUAAAGAAGGAAACGUUUGUCUUUAGUUAUGAUUUUUUUUAUAUAACUUAUUUAUUAAAUAUAUUUUGCCAUUCUUCCAUACCAUGCAUCUUUAUUAAUACCUUAGUACCAAGUUUGUGUGUUAUUUUAGCAUUAAGUGGACUUCUGUAUUAUAUUAUUCUUGUUGAAACAUUUUUAUAAAGUAAGAUAUUAGGUUUAGUUUAUAGGAUUUGUCUUUUUUUCAAUUUAACACUAAAUAAAGUUAUUUACAUCAAUAUUGUGCCAUUUAUUUCUAAUAUUGAAAAUAGUUGUAAAUUAAAAAAAUAUUUGAAGUGGGUGUGUAUGUUGCAUACACUUCACUAUUGUUUUCAAUUUAUCUCUAGUUUAAUAAUUUAUAAGCAUAAUAACAAAUUACGUCAACUAUUGAAUUGUCUUCUCACGUUUAUUCAAUUAUAUUUAUGAAUAAAUUUGGUAAAAUCAUUUUAUUUCAUUUUCACACACUAAAUGUGUCAUCUACUAACUUUUAAAAUAGUAGAAUUGUUAUGAAUUAGAAAAAUAUUAAACGUAAUAAAUCAAAAUUAAUAAAACUUGUGUAUGUAUAUAUAAUAAAUAAGAGGAUUGUUAUAUAUAGAAAAAUGUUGUCCUAAAUUCAUUUUAAAGGGAAAAAAAUCAUAACAUGCAUCCAAGUUAAAAAAAACAAUCAUAUAAUUUUGGGAAAAAGAAAACAAUCAUAUAAUUUUGAAAAAAAAAUCAUUUUAUAAAUAUAUUAAUUUUGAAUUUAAUUUGUAUUCCGUUUUUAGAUUUGAAAAUGUUACAUAUUUAAUUCUUUAAUUUUGAAUUUGAACCCAAUUUAGUUUAUAAAUUUUAAAAUGUUAUGUAUGAGGUCAAUUCCAAUUUGUUCGACUAAAUUUUAAUAUUUAUAUUUGUAACAUAAAAAGUUAACUAAAUACUUAUUUUUCGUAUUUCACAUAAAGAUUUAGAAUAAUUAAACAAACUAUAUAAUUAAUUGAAUUUUAUUGUUUCUUCGUCACAUUUUAAAGUCGAUUUAAUAUUUUACUCUAUGCCUUGAAUCCUAAUCAAAAUUGAUUUAUGAGAUGAUUUGGUAUGUUUGUUGGGAUGUCUUGUUUCCUGAUUAGAAUUGGUCUAGGAGAUGUUUAUUUAUUUAAUUAGUUUUGGUUAUACUGCGCUCCUCAAUCAAAAUAUAAAUUUAAUUUUGUUUCUAAAAACUCAACUAUAAAUUGCAAUCGAAAGUAUACAUUGAUAUUAACAAUUAUGUAUAGUUAUUUAGAAAUACAAAAUAAUAUGCAAAAAUUGAAAAUGCGUUUUAGUUAUUAUUGUCAAUCACAAUAAUUUGAUUUAGUAUUAUUUACCGUAUAGUAACUUGUGUUUUAUGUUUAAAACUUCAUCUUCCUAAAUACUAAUUUACUUAAUUUUGUUAAAAUUUUAAAAACACUGUUGAAUAAGAAAUUUUGAGACCAAUCACAUAUUGUCACGUCAUUUAUUAAGUUGAUGAUGAAAAGUAUAAAUAAUUAAAUUUUGAACUAAUUAAAAUUUACAUGUGUCCCAAAUUAAAGAAUUGAAAAACAUAAAUUAAUCAUUCUAAUAAUGUCACAUGUUUUCAUCUUAAUCGUUUGAUUAAGUUAAUCAUUCUGUUCAAUUAAAUAUUAUUUACUAAGUUCAAUUAAGCCAAAAAAAUAAGCUUAAUUGAGCCUAAGACUAAAUAUAACUUAAAUCCAUAUGGUUGAGCCCAUGGGUCUGGUCCAUGGACCAACCAGGUUUAAGCCCAUAAACCCCACAAGUGAACUCUAUAAAUAGAAGAAUUCUCAACAGUUUGAAAGAAAUUUUUGACUUCGGAAGGUUCAGACAGAAUUCUCCCAAUGAGUAGAAGACUCCCUAACUCCUGAAGUCGACCAUCAUCGGGAAGAUUGAAACUCUUUUGAAGAUACACACUUUCUUCCAAGACUCCAACUUCAAGAAUAUCAUGUGCUCCGCUUCCUUAAAUCAAGCAUAGUCAUUCCGCUUCCUUAAAUCAAGCAUAGUCAUUCAACCAACUUGAAGAACAUCACGUGCUCUGCUUCUCAUUCAACCAACUUGAAGAACAUCACGUGCUCCGCUUCUCCAAGCGUAGACGUUAAAAAAACUUCAAGACUAUCAUGUGCUCAAGCGUAAGCAUCCAGUCGAAAGAGAAUCGAGAUUGAACUACAUCAACACUCAAGUUCAAGUUCACGAAUUAAAUACACAAUUAUUGUAAAAGUUACACCAACGUAAAUGAAAAUGGUGUAAAUUAAUUUUGUUAGUGUUUAAAAAAGUGUAUAAGUGAAAAAAAAAAUUGUAAACACAUACAAAUUCAAUUCAAAUGUAGUCUAAAUGUUAAUAUUGUCUAAUUGUUUUAAUAAGAAAACAAAAAUGAAGGAUAGAUGAUGAUAAUAAUAAUUAUUCACAAUAGCAAGUACUAAUUACUAUACAUUAAAAGGACAUCUAUGUAAAUCUAACAUUAUAUAAAUAUGAAUUUUCAAAUAUAGCAGUAAAUUAACAUUUGCUUUACCGAGAUAGAAGGAUCAAUUAGCAAAAAGUAACGUAGUUUUGAAAAAUAAUCAAGAAAAAGAGGUUAUUUUGAAACAAAUUAUGUACCCUAAAAUUAGGGUGAUUUGUUUGUUUGUUAGUAGAGUGCCUCUCUUUUCUUCUUCAUCUUCUUCGAUUUUAGAAAAAUUUAACUUAUAAUGGCUGAUUUUCGUAAAUAUCAACAUAUUUCCUAAUACUCUAAUAAGAUAAAAAAAGAAGAAGUAAAUAUUUCAUAUUUCUCAUUCAUUUUAUUUCCUUUCUUUUUAGUUUCUAGUCUAAACUAUCGUAUAAGAAAAAAAAAAAAAAUAGUUAAAUCUAACGUAGUUUCUAGUCUAAACUAUCGUAUAAGAAAAAAUAAAAAAAAUAGUCAAAUCUAACGUUUUUCAAAUAUACUACGUAAAUAGUAGUUUUUUCGUUUUUAAAAUUAUUAUCUCUAAAUAUGUUUAAACUCAUUCCAAAUGAUUUGCUUCUUUUUUUAUAAAUAUUUUCUUUAUUUUCAUUAUAUUUUUCAACAAAUUUUAUUUCAAUUAAAAUAAAACUAAACUUAUAAUUAAUGUUCAGGAAGAAAUUCUUGUGUUUUGUUCUUUGUAUAAAUUUCCUUAUUUUUUUCAACUUGUUUUUAUUUAUUUAUUAUUAUUUGGGCAAUUCACAUACUUCGUUUAUCAAAUACAAUUAUUUUGUUUUUACAAAAUUUUAAAACUAUUUACUUUUUUCUAGAACGUCUGAUGUCAUAUUUAUUGUUUUAAGUUUUUUUAAUCUUGAUACAAUUUUUCAAAAUUCAACUUAUGUUUUCCUAAUCUAACCAGGGAUAAAAACAAUUUAGUGUUAGUUAAAAAUUAUAAAAGUGUACAUAUUAUAUUUGAAUGAAUUAUAAUUAAUUAAUUAUUUUAGCCAUUAAACCAUAAUAAUUAAUAAUUAAUUAAACUAACAUAAACUAAAAAGAAUAAAUAUGUAAUUUUAUAUUUUUGGUCAAAUUGGUUCAACUUUACUAAUGUAUAAUUAAAAGUCCUACUGGACACAUCAAUCAUAAUUGAUUACAUUUAAAUUAUUUUGAUAAAAAGAACUUAACUAGUUUGAUUUGGUUAAAAAAUGACUUAUUUUUAAAAUUAAAAUUAAAAUUAAUUUUUAUUAUUUAAAUUUGAAAUAAAAUUUGGUUGAAAAUAUAAAUAAUAUAAUAAAAGCAUUAAAAGGAAAAAGGAGCGAGAAGAAGUAAGAUUUGUUUGAAAAUAAGGAAAAGAAUUAAAAGAAAUAAUGGAUUAAAAGAAAAGAAAAGAAAAAGAAGAAGAGAGAACUUGUUUCUCUUUUUAAAAACGACAGAACAAAUAAAUAAAGAAAAGAAAGGAGGGCGACUAAAAGAAAUUACUCCAUUUAUCUGAUUUGUUUCGAAAUAACUCUUUUUAAAAAUUACGUAAUUUUUCCAAUUGAUUCGAAAUAGAAAGAACAGAAAACUCAAUUGAAAUAAAAAUAAUAUUAAUUAAUAACGUGAAUGAUUAUUUAAAAUAAUACAAAUAAAAAGACAAAUUUACCAAAUUAUUUAAAUGGGAGAAAAAGGUAGAUCUAAAUUUUAAGCAACAGAUAUAGUAUAUAAAUAAAAUGGAGUGGUCUAGGAAAGCAAUGGAGGAUGUGACAGGGAGAGAAAAGGGAAAUAAAACAAAAGUUAGGACUAAAAAAUGUCAAUUAAUUACCAUUUAAUUAUCGUUGCCGUCGCUAAUUGCCCUUCUGCUUUUCCAUACAAAUAAUGAUUAGGUAUUUAGAGUUAAAUGCACUGCAAAAUGGCACCCACUAUUAUUUUAUUUGCAAUCUGGACCAAACCCAAGCCGACUUUUACCAAUUCUUCAGCCGCGCCGCCCAAAUCGCAGGAGUCCCAUUAUUUACGCCCUGACCUUGACUCACGCCUCCCGCGUUGGCUAAUUCACCCAGCCGCCUCCUAGGAGCACAUUGCAAACAGAAAUAAAAAUACUUCUUUACUCUUUUAUUUUCCUAAAUUAAUUUAAUAAGUGUCAAAUUAGUUUAUAAAUUUUUUUGAACUCUUCGCCAGUCUUAGUUAUAAUUAUAAAACACUAAGUCUCCUUACGUUUUAAGUACUUUAAGUUUCACUUUUACUUCUAAUAUUAAAAAAAAGAAAAAAGAAAACCAAGUAGUUUGAAAAAGUAUUAAUUUUUUUUCGAAAGCCUUUCCUUGUUAUGGUUAAAAAAAAAUGUGAAUUUCGUUACCCAAUUAGGUCUUCGCAAUUGAAGGUUUAAUUACAAAUUGAAAAAAAGAAUUAAAAUCGGAUUAGGAGUGUAAUUUAACAAGAAAAAAGAAGAAGAAAAUCUUGCUAUCUUCCAGCAUCUCUUCGUUUCUCUUUCUUGAGUCUUCGUUUUUCCUGAUGGAAGCAUUCUCUCUCACGGAGGCGAUUAUGGAAAGAUAUUUUCAACAUCACGGCGGGACUUGGCUGGCGAACACGCAAAGAUUUUGGGGAAUUUGAUGCCGUUUUUUUUCCCCUUUGUUUGUUUCUGUUUGUUGUGGGCGGUUAUUUUUAGAGAUUUUUUGUUUGGUUUGAGAGAUUAUGGAGGGAGGUAACAAUGGCGGCUCCUUUCGGAGUUUGAUCGACUUGGUGAACGAUGUUGCUUCAAUCUCUGACUUCAGGUAUGCGGUCAGAAAGCAGUAUUGUAAUUUAGCUAGGCGGCUGAAGCUGUUGAUCCCAAUGUUUGAAGAGAUGAGGGAUAUGAAGCAACCGCUGCCGGAUGAUAUCGUUCAAGCUCUUGCUUCGUUGAAAGAAGCUCUGGAAUCGACUAAGGAGUUGCUUAGACAUGGGAGCGAGGGGAGCAAGAUUUAUCUGGUGCGUUUACUUCACUCUUUGUGUGUUAUUUGUUUGAUCAGCGUGGCUUUUUCUGCUCUACGAUGUUGCGAAUUGGUGAAUUUCAUUUGGAAUUAGUGUUUUCUCUUUUCUUGUUUUGGAUGUCUGUUUGGCUAAGUGGAGAAUGAUAGAAAAUCGAACGCGGAUUAUUGGUUAUUGUGAUUUUCAGAAGCUACUUACCUUCGCUUAUUCGGAACAUAACAUUUUGAUUGGGUUGGUAACUGGGAUUUUACACUUCUGGAAAUGAUGUUUUGAUCGUCGUUUUCCAUUAAAAGAGAAUCGCGGUUCAGCCACACCUCUGCUAAUGCUUUAAAUUUAAUUCGAUCAGGCGACGUUUAUGCUGCGAUGGUUGCAUUAUGGAACGAUGAUUUGGGGAAACUCGAGUUCAAACAUUGGUCUAAGUUAGCAGGCGACAUUUAAUUUACAAAUAAUGCCGGUUACAUUGUGAUUUUCGAUUUCUUUAGGUUUUACUCUACGUGAUCUAGACUUGAUUUUAACUUUGCGUGAAUAUAUGAUUUAGGUUGCGCCUAAAUUUUAAAUUUAUUCUUAAUCAGUCGUAGUUUCUGAAUAUUGGGAAAAUCGAUAUGAGAUGAAUGUCCGCAGUAAAUCAAGAUAAUUUCUCCUUUCAUGCUUUAACAACGCAUUAUAUUAUUUUUGUUCUACUGCCCUUGAUCUAAUAUGUUUCUCAACUUAAACUGCAGGGCUUGGAGAGAGAGCAAAUUUUGAAUCAAUUUCACAAGGUGACAGCAAGACUGGAGCAAGCUCUGAAUGAAAUUUCACAUGAAGCUCUUGACAUAUCUGAUGAAGUCAAGGAGCAGGUAGACAAUUUAUCAUCUCUCCUUUUCUUUUUAUUCUUAAUAUCUUUGAAAUGAUGUCCUAGAAAGGAAACUAAAAAGUUAAGAAUAUUGUGUUUCUUCACUCAUGGAACUUGUUUACUACCACUCUUGCUGUUGAAAGAUGAACUUAAAAUCUUUACCAAUUGAAUCGUGUGCCAUGGAAGUAGAUGCUUAACAACUAGGUAUUACCUCGGUGUUUGCAUCAGCUUGUUUUCUUCCAUUUGUCUUUUUCACUAAUGGGUUUGUAAUGGAUUCUAAUCCUAGGUCUGUAUUUGGAUUGAGGGCUCUGGGGUCGGUUUGCAAUCCCUUUAACAUUCUCUUCCUAAAAUUUUUAACCCGGUUCCUUUCCACUAUUUUCACGUUUUACAAUCCUAUUCCAAAUUUUUAACGUUUCUUUGUAAUCCCUAGUACAUUUCAACCAUCCAAACAAGCUCUAAAAAUAUUAUGAGAUUUGAAUGCCCUAUAAAAGUUUUAUACCGAUAUAUGCAUAUCUAACUCUUUCUGCAUCCAGGUUGACCUUGUUCUCUCUCAAUUCAAAAGGGCAAGAGAAAGGAAGGAUACAGAAGAUGCUGAGCUGUAUGUUAACCUGAACUCUCUCUAUAACAACAGAGAUGUUGCUACUGAUCCUUCUAUCUUGAAAGGAUUGGCUGAGAAGUUGCAAUUGAUGGAUAUAGCUGAUCUUACUCAAGAAUCUCUUGCUUUACAUGAAAUGGUUUCGGCUAGUGAUGGAGAUCCAGGAGGGAGAUUUGAGAAAAUGUCGAUACUAUUGAAGAGAAUAAAAGAUUUUAUGCUAACUGAAAACCCUGAAUUUGGUUCUUCAAAAGAACAGAGUCAUCCUCGCACUGGUGGACAAACGUCUGCUGGUAAGAAAAAUAUAUCGUCCCUUCACAUACCUGAGGACUUUCGAUGCCCCAUAUCCCUGGAUUUGAUGAAAGAUCCCGUCAUUGUCUCUACAGGACAGGUAUUUACAUAUUCUGUUACCUAAUUUUUACCUCUAGUUGAACAUAAUUUUCUUUUCCAGACGAGAAGUAGGUUGCUACCACAAACCUCCUUCCCAGUUGUGUGGCAGAUCAAGUCUUUAACCUUAGGGGAGGUAGUAGGUGUCUCUUGCUUAGAUUGACUCAAUUAUGUAAUGUGUCUACUAGAUGAUACUCGAUGAAAUUUAGAACAUCUAUUGAAUAGUCUCACAUUGUAUUCAAUGGUUAGAUGUUGAGUUGUUAUUUCUUGUGACUCUUAAUUUAGUUCCUGAAUACAUCAAAUAAUUUUCCUGGACAAUUGAGAGGCCAAGAUAUGAUGCUGCAUCGAGGAUUGGUUUUUAUCUCAUAGUCCUGUUUAGACAUCACUUACAAGUGGAUACUCUAUGUAUAACUCUCAAUUUAGUCUCAAUUUAUACAUAGUCCUAUAUAUAACUCUCAAUUUAGUCUUCUAUUGAAUUUUCGCAUCCAUCACUAGGGAAUAAAACUGAACACGUUGAUCUUGCUCCAAAUUAUUCCUAAUGCAGUUUCGUUUUUCUUUUUGGUAGACCUAUGAACGUGGUUUCAUUGAGAAGUGGCUGGCAGAUGGACACAUGACAUGCCCAAAAACUCAACAAGUUCUCACUAGCAAAAUUCUUACACCAAAUUAUGUUUUACGUAGUCUCAUAGCUCAAUGGUGCGAGGCCAAUGGGAUCAAACCACCACAACGUGCCAGCAGUUCUCAGCCGAGUGAGUUGACUCCGGCUGAACGCUCUAAGUAUGAAGCUCUACUCCACAAGCUCACAUCAGGUAACAUUGAAGACAAGCGAUCUGCUGCUGGUGAGAUUCGGCUUCUAGCCAAACGCAAUGCAAAUAAUCGUGUAGCCAUUGCUGAAGCUGGUGCAAUUCCUCUUCUUGUUGAUCUCCUUUCAACAACAGACCCCCUCACUCAAGAGCAUGCUGUGACAGCAUUACUUAACCUAUCAAUUUGUGACAAUAACAAGAGAAGCAUCAUGUCCUGUAGGGCUGCGCCUGGCAUAGUCCAUGUGCUGAAGUGGGGGAGUAUGGAAGCACGUGAAAAUGCUGCUGCCACUCUUUUCAGUCUCUCUGUUGUAGAUGAAUAUAAAGUAAUGAUCGGCGCAUCGGGAGCCAUUCUGCCACUUAUUGCACUACUUAAUGAAGGUACUCAAAGGGGGAAGAAGGAUGCUGCAACGGCUCUAUUCAACUUGUGUUUCUUCCAAGGUAACAAGAUAAAGGCAGUCAGGGGUGGUGUUGUUUCCAUACUAAUGCAGCUGUUGACAGAAUCUAGAAUAGGGAUGGUAGAUGAGGCCCUUGCAAUAUUAGCCAUACUGGCCAACAAUUCCGAAGGACGAGCCGCUAUUGGAGCAGCCGAAUCUGUCCCCAUUUUAGUAAAUCUCAUUGGAACAGGAUCCCCUAGGAAUAGGGAAAAUGCAGCUGCAGUUUUGGUGCAUCUUUGCAUGGGAGACAAACGACAUCUUGUUGAAGCAAAGGAGCUUGGAGUGAUUGGUUUGCUUGUGGAUAUGGCAGAAAAUGGAACAGACCGAGGUAAGCGCAAAGCAACACAAUUGCUUGACCAAAUAAACAGGUUUACAGAGCUGCAGAAAGAGGGUGAGGUUCAAUCUCAGUCUCAAUCCCAGCCGUUACUACCACCACCUUCCGCAAUCGGCAACGUUGAAAGCUGACCAGGUUUUUUCUUCCCAUUGUCUUUCUCAUUGUUGGGUUUCUUUCUUUAUUUCAUCAUACACAUCGAAGGAAUGCAGCUCUUGUUCAUGGAGGUGGAAGAUCACCAGCUUAACUUAAUCUGUAAAUUAUAGAUUUCUUUUUUUCAUUUGAGCGAGAGGAACUCAACUUCCAUGGAUGAUCGUGAGACUAAAUUACUAGGAAGUAGAACAAUGUUCAUCCUCAAAAUCUGAAUGAAGAGAGAGAGUUUGUAAAUUGAUGUGAUGAUUAUGAAUCGAAUAUAAACUGCACUACUGCAGUGUAUUUGGGCAAAAUUAGCCGACAAUUUUGAAUCACUUUUCUAAAUAUUUUACUACUGCUUCAUAGAAUUGGGUUUUCCGAUGAAGGAAAAAGGCAGCCGCCGGCCAAGAGCCCCGCCUUGCCGACACGUCGUUUCAGCAUUGCCUUGAAGAUGAUUGAUGAAAAUUGUGGUGUGCGUAAGUAACGUAUGAUUUGUGGCAGUUUAGUGGACAAGUCAAAUAUACGACGCAUCGCAUGGUACGUUGACUUGAAUCUGAAUUCCACUUUUUCCCCACUCUUUUGUUGGCACAUUUUCCCCCAUUAAUUAGUAACUUAUUUACGCAUAUAAUUAACAAAUUAAAUUUAGGUUUAAAUACCUUCACCUUCUUUGAAGUUUUAAUAAAAAUGAAAAGGAAUAGAUGAAGGCUAUCAUUUUUUUAAGUAUAAGAACCAAACUAUUAAAAUUGGAAUAACAGAGACCAAAAUGAGCAUUUUAUUUACAACAUUCUAAAACAAAAUAUGGAUAUCAAAAUCUAUUUUGAAAUGUUAAUUAGUA
rnacentral:lncRNA from 1 species